UGGGCACUACUGUGUCCUCUGCGAGCCCACCUGCCAAUCUUUCGACCGGCGGGAGGCACUGGGUCAUGGAGAUCGUCCAGGUACGCAACGUUUUCUUGCCUGUGCUUAAUUGGAAGAGCAUGCUUAACCCGCUUGAGCUUGGGUAAGGUAGGGGCGAAAUGCCACCGGAUAUGCUUACAACCCUAUGGCACUGAUUGGGUCGGCAACCCCUGGGUAAACUACCCUCAACCCCUGGUCCUCGACGAUGGCCUUGACCUUGGGCCCGGUUUUGGAGGAUGUGCGGAGGUUGCAGCGGUUGAUGUGGGGUGCUCGUUGUGCAGGACAGAUUCGCACGAGUGCAACGUCCACCUUAGUGGCCGCAGCCCAGAGCAGGGGCAGGGUCUGAUGCAACGCCUUAAAGAAAAUGAGAAGAAAGAGUUCUGAACAAAACCUAAGAACUUAAUUAUCAUCCGUAAGUGCUGCCGGAUCGAGUCCAGGCAAGGGUGCCUUCAGGGGUUGCGCAUCCAUUUUAAUCGAGGGUUUGGCACCACUGGUAAGGCGCGACCAUUGCCCCUGGGAGAUCCCGGGAUCGGUACCCGUUAGGGUCAAAAGUCUUUCCGAUGGUGGAAGGCAUUGCGCCCCUAGUUGAUGGACUUUGACUGUCCAUAAACGUCGUGAGCACACGAAGGCAAAGUUAUAUAUAGUAUGUAUGUAUGUUGUUACAGGGUGGUUAACUUCGCCAGCGGCCCCCCCGGGGCAGUCCCUGCUCUCCCCUGCUAGAGGGGCACCCUAAUCCGUCACCCCAUCCGACUUCAGAAUGUAUUCGUUGGGUUCGGCAACUCACCACCAGCAUCCAACCAAAUCUAGCGGAUCAACGGCGCAUCAACUUAGUUCCUGUAUGUAUAGUCUUCCAUUAGAUAACUAUCUCACAUGGUAUGUACAAAUAUGUACCCUUAUGUACACUGUCGGCACCAUCAACACCGCUGCAUUGCACCAGCCGCCGACCAGUUGCUGGCUAGGCCUCUGCACCACAUCAGAAGCUAGUCGUUCAUGUGGUACCACCCCUUGAUCACGCCACUUCUUCACCGCCACGUCGAAGCGUAACGUGCGCAGGUCGUACAGCUCCUGUGUGAACAUCCUGACGCAGAGCGCCAGGUGCUCGUCCAGGCGGUUGCGGACCUUGCUCUGCACGAAGUUCAUGGCCGAAAACCGGCGCUCGUCCUCCACCGACCCCGGCACCAUCACGAACACGAGCUUGGCCAAAGCCACGCACUCCUUUAGGCUCUCCGCAUGGACAGGGGCGUUCUCCAGCUGCUUCCAAAGCUGGAUGGUGGGGCUCUCCUCCUGCUCCUCACGUAGCUUUCACUGCACGACCUUGCUGCCAGCAGCCGCCCGCUCCGUCGCAAGCUGCUCACGCAGCUUGGCGGUCUGCCCCCGAAUCCGGGCCAGUCGCUGCUUGGUUGCCAAGGCCCGCAUGAGCUGCUCGAACUCUGUGGCCUUGGCAUCCAAUGCCGCGAUGUUGAGCUUUGGCGGCACUUUAAUCCCGUCGUCCAGCUCGCACUCCUUGCCGUAGUGGGUCUUGAUCACCUUCAGCUUUGACCGGAAGUCUGCUGCUGUCGGCCUGGCCUCCCAGUACUCGCUGUAGAGGAUUUGGAAGGCGUCCAUCAGGGCCGUGGGGGGGAAGCGGGCCUCCAGCUCGUCGGCCAGCACCUGCACUGCGGCAGUGUUUUUUGGAGAGCUCGUGGCUUUUUAGCGUGGCCUGCCUGGCAUCCAUCGUGACGUCUCGCCGCCGGCUGAGGGAGCAGGGACCGCACCGGAAACGGUCGUGCACCUCGCCAGCCUCCACAUCUGGCGCAACACACUCAGCCCAUUCGAACAAAGCUGUCCAGUGCGCCUGGAAGCGAUGCACUCCCUCGUUCUCCCGCCAGCUCCCAUCGCUUUGGCCUUUCAGCACACGCUGUGUUUGCUGGCGCCGCGCCUGCUUUUGAAUCACCAGCGGCGCGUGCUGCGAAGCACCCGCCCUUGAAGGUGGCGGUGGUGCCGUUGCGACAUCUUGGGGCGGUGGCCCUUCCUCGACAGAAUCAAGCUGGUCAGCAUCUGAGUCGCUGAUUGCUGCAGUUGUGCGUGGCCGCUUCGCUGGGGGAUCCUCAACUUCGCUCAAAUCGCUGGCUUCACUGACUUCAAGAGCGCAAGGAGGCCCGACUACGGUGUCUUCAGGAACUGCGGCAUGCCUAUCCUUGUCUUCUGUAUUAUCUAAUUCUUCUUCUAAGUGUUUGAGGCAUUGCGUCUGCGGAGUUUCUGAGCCGUUUGCUUUGGUCAAGAAUGAACGAAUGCCCCGUUGACCUAAGUUGAAUGCAACAGCGGGCCGUCUCAUGGUGAUAUCAUCAAAGAGGGGGGUCCUUGUGAAGCAGCUGCCCGCGUUUCUAAAGUCCGUAUGGUGUUGGAAUAUAAGUUGCCCAAGUACUUUUGCGAGGAACAGAAUGGGGCCAGGCUGGCCAGGCGUUUGCAUAAUGGAAUGUGAGAUGAGUCGAAGCUGUUUCCAGGGCGUUUGGCGCACGGCGCAAUGUAUAUGCAGUCAUGUCGUCGCGCGCGCGUAUGCAAGAACAACAGGAACCACAAUUAGAAGAACAAGAACAGCCCCACAGGAACAGCGCGUGCACAGGCGACGUCGCGUCGGUGAAUGCUAUGAUGUAGGAACGAAGAAGAAUGCCUAGGUUCAAGUUCCCUGUCGCGCGUGGAUGGCCAUGCCAGAACAGGCAACAUGAUGGGUGAACUUGCACGCUACCAACUUGCCCCCGAUGACACGACGGGGCGACAUAGAAAGGAGCGCAGCGGGCCCCCCCCUAUCCCCGAACGCUCACGCAAUAGACCAUCCCAAGCGCUGCUGUCCGUAUGGGCAGCAGCAGCCGUUCACACACGAGUUAAGGUCGGACAUGUAUGCACCGUGACUGACACCCUAAGUGCGACCGUGCCCAAAUUCAACAGCACCGCCCAAUGUCCAGAAGCCUAGCGCCGAAAUUGUGGGACCCUAUCCGUCAAGCGUUAAGUGUCCAGUUGCUGUGUGGGCUAGGCAAGCGUGGCAGGGGCGUCAUCGUCUUGGACUGUGACGGCGGUGGGCAUGUGGGCGCUGCCGGCGCGUCGCCGGCUCAUCAUGUAGAAGGCUGGGCUGGCGGAAGGCGGCCCGCGCAGCACAUUGUAGCCGCCCGGCCCCCGAGCCUUGAACUGCGCGAUGUAGAGGGCCUCCAUCUUUUGGGCCAGAGCAGGAUUGGCGGUGGACAUGAGGCGCGUGAGGGUGAAGUGGUCUCGGAAGGGUUGGUAGUGGCGGGCGUCGUCCUUCAUCCGGCUGGGUGGGUUGCGGGCAUGAGCUUGGAAGCGCCGUUGAGGGUCCCGGGACUGGCCGACGUACACCCUGCCGGUCGGUGCGCACGUGAUGGUAUAUAGUCACGUGCGGGCGGGGGCACUGGAAAGUGGCUCGGGGGGGCUGGUUGUGGCUCGCUUGGCUGGCAUGGUGGUGGCCAGGAGGGCGCCCGACGCUCGCGCCUGCUGCGCGGCCGUCAGCACCGAGAGCGCGAAGUCUUGGUCCGCCUUGAGGACGUGCCCGCGUCCAUGCCGUAAUCAUAGAUCAGCGCAAUGGCGGUAUCCGCCCGCAGGCUGCCGGCAGCCGCGAUCCACAGCUGCAUGAUUGUGGCGUGCGUGGCCGUCGCUUUGUCCGGCAUGUCGCCCUCGUGUAUUUCUGCCGUCACGUUGUACAAGAACGCUGCACGGGCAUGGAGGGAGGGAGGGUGGAUGUGAGGUUGGCGGGAUGGCGGGGCGGAAGUGGAGGCAUGCAGGGGCGGGGCGUGACAGAUAAGGAUGCUGUGGCCACAUGGCCGGGCAGUUGGAAAGCGGGCACGGGGGACGGCAGCUGGCGCAAGCGAGCAAUGGGCAGCAAGGUAGGAUGUCUUACUGCUGGCGGGCUUGGCGCCGUGCUGCGCCUGGAAGUCGUCCCUGUACUUUCGGCCCUCGGCCAGGAGCACGUUAAACUCAGUGUUGGUGUGGGUUGCGUGCAGGACGUCCUCAUCGUGACAUCCCAUGCUUCCCAAGAGCAGUUGCUGCCUGACGGUUCGAGGGGCAGCAGCAGGGCGUGUCAAGAUGGUGGAUGCAUGGGACAGCCAGAGAGGCGCGUGGGUGCGCAGCAGGGACGGCAUGCGUUCUGUUCGGUAGGGUGCGGCACGGCAAGGCGGCUACUAGUACCGGAAGAUGAGGCGCUUACUUGAAGGUGAGCGGCCGUUUCGGCACCCCGGCCGGCGAGGAGCGAUCGCGGCCUCCGCCGGUUGGCGAUGCUGCUGCUAACUGCGCCCACAGGUCAGCUAUGUUGAUGGGCGGCUUGGCUGCGGCGCCGGCAGAAGAGCCCGACGGCAGGCUCGGCGAAGGCGUGCCGUAAGCGCCCAAGUUGACGGGCGAAAGGGUCUGAGGUGGGACUUGUGAUUGGCGUGCCAUUUUCGGAGGGCUUGCUGCUGAUGGAUCGCUCCGUCGGCGUGCUGUACGUGAUACCACCAGGUGUGGCUGCACAACACCGAAGCAGCUCACGGGCUGGCAGAAGCCGGGGGUCAAGCCGCUGUCUGACAUGUGUUAGUCUGACAUUGUCUGUCAAAGUCUGAGGGUGAACUUAAACUCCGACAGAGUGUGCUAAAGUCUGACUUGUGUUGUGCCCUUGAUGCUGUGAUGUGCAGGUUGCACUGACGCGGGACGUCGUCUUCAGGUGCAGGUGUGCCUGCACCCGUAUUUUUCAACAUUUAACGUUUUGAACAGCUUCGACAUGUGCGCCUUUAAAGUGGCGGCGCUGCCGUCCGGAGCAAUCGUGGCCCAUCCACGGUAAGUGCGGUGCGGGGGCAAGGGUUGGCAGGGCAGACAAGGGGCAUGUGUGGGAAAAGGUAAGGUGAUGUGUGCGCUAUAGGCUGAGUAGGCACAUGUGGCACGUCCUGAACGUGUGCUGAGACCGUGGCUGCUGUGCUGUUCAUGUUGCCAGGUUUGUGUACGGCUGCACACAUGGAUGGGUGCAGAUGGUGCUGCCGUGCCAUCAUCAAGCAGCAACCGGUGCGUGAAUUGCCAAGUACUGGUCGCGCGGGUGGCUGUACGAGCCAUUUGACGACGCCGAUGAGGGCCAACUGCACCAGCCUGCUGGGGCGACGGAGUUGAGCAUGGGCGGCAAUGUCGUGGUCGUUCGUCCCACAGCCUGUUCGACUUCGGACCUGCUCCAGGUCGCUCUACCGCUGAUGACAUUGUGGGAGGCAGCUUCCGAUGCAGAAUGGCGUCGUGGCAACGUGGCCAUGAACGUGGUGCAUGCCAUGACGGGAGCCAUGAUGCAGCUGCCGCACGUGAAAUGGUCGUACAUGACGUUUAGGUGCACAGCGUGAGGGGCAGCCCGGCAGGAUUUUGGAACUUCUGCCUCACACAGAAGGGCGGCAGAGAGCUGCAGAGAGGUAAUGUGACGGAAACUACGUGUUAUUCUGCUGUACUCUCCAUGCCGGAAUGCGGUGUUGGGCAUGUGUGUGGCGGCAUCCGAAACGUGCCGGUGUGUCCGGGGAUGGGUAGACCUGCGGAAUAUGUUAGCUGCGCAGCAGCUGGGUGCCAUGUAGUUGCCACUUAGGGCUUAUUUUAGUGUUUAGGGACAUGUAGUUGCCACUAGCGUUUUUGUGUGGCCAGCGCGGACGGGCAGCGGGUGCACCAUGUGCGUCCAUCGGCCAGGAAACACAGACAGGCAUUGUGUGUUUGAUAGUCGCGCAUGGUGAAGGCGCAAACAGACCGAAGCUAGUGUGCGCGUGGAAUGCAUGAAGCGCUCUCGUGUGGGCAACGUGCUCGAUGCGAUGGCCGGCCUGUUGCAAGUUGCAGGGACAUGGACGUUUGGCACGACGCCGAUUAUCAACAAAAAAUUUAAGGAAUCUAUGGCAUGAACUGGUGAAUUGUUAGUGAUUAUGUGGACGCCGGUCGGCGUGGUACGGCGCCGAACAUGAAGAUUUGAUCUGUGGGCGUAGUGGGGAACGGCUCAUAAUAGGGGCGCGUCAUAUUGAAAGGGACCAUGAUGCGAAGGCGUUGCAAGGAUUCGAGCGACCCUGUAAGCGUUAGUGUUCUGCAAGGCAAUGACUGAAUGUAUGCUGUUCAUCAAAGCUCGGAUCGCCAACCACACCAGCCUUUGCCCAUUGGCGACAGAUUAGCACGGAUUUCCACAAACAGCAGCAUCUGUCGGUUGGCAUCAUAGUUGCACGAAGCUGGCAGCGAACUUGUGCAGCAGCGCGCCAAAGAGGUGAUGGCCCGGCGUUGGGCCAGCGCGGCACUGACAGAGCUGCGGCCUCACUUAGAUGGCAAUGAGGAUUUUGAAGCUCAGCUACCAGCGGGUAGUUCAGCGGCAGGCUGCAAGUCGCUUGGCGACCAAGUGCGGCGUGACUUUUAUCCGCACUUGAGGGCCGCUGCCGCCCCGGCCCGGGGCUGCCUGUUGUUUGUCUGCGACUGUGAUGCCGGACAGUUGUCAGGCGGCCACGCGUGCACAGGGCGGCUGGAGUUGGAUUGGCAGGGGUGCAAGGUUGUCGCAUCAGCGCACUUGUGCAGCUGUGCAGCAAAGAUCAGGUCAGGACCUGCAUGUCCAUUUGGAGGGUGCUGGCACUGUGCUGCUGCAACCAAUGCCCAGUGCCGGACUAGAGGAAAGAUGAUGUGCCUCAUCUAUGCAGGCCCAACACCCGAGUGGCUGCCGGUGUGCAAGUGGACCGUCCGCCGGGGUGCGCCUCUGCAGUGUCGGUGCCAGAUGGGAUCCUGUGGUCCGACCAGCCGAACUCGUCACUGCCUGCCAGCAUGACGGACGUGCGGGGCUUGAGAGCUGCUGGAUGUGCUGCAGGUGGAGCUGGAUGCUGCCAAAACACGGGUGAUGGUCACACCGGUGCUGGGCCGAGUGCCAGUUAAGCAGGGCGACCUGGCAGCUGUGCAAGUCUGGCUGCACGACAUCACGGGGCCCACUCCGGUGGUGGUGUGCAGCACCGCCCCUCAGCUCAAGCGGGCUGCGGAGGUGGUGAUGGGCGAGGUGCAAGCGGGGGUGCCCAAACAGUACCCUCUUCNNNNNNNNNNNNNNNNNNNNNNNNNNNNNNNNNNNNNNNNNNNNNNNNNNNNNNNNNNNAAAGCAGGCUCAGCAGCCCCCACUUGCACCUCGCCCAUUGCCACCUCCACAGCCCGCUUGAGCUGAGGGGCGGUGCUGCACACCACCACCAGAGUGGGCCCCGUGAUGUCGUGCAGCCGGACUUGCACAGCUGCCAGGUCGCCCUGCUUAACUGGCACUCGGCCCAGCACCGGUGUGACCAUCACCCGUGUUUUGGCAGCAUCCAGCUCCACCUGCAGCACGUCCAGCAGCCGGUGGUGCGCUCUCAAGCCCUGCACGUCCGUCAUGCUGGCAGGCAGCGACGGGUUCGGCUGGUCGGACCACAGGAUCCCAUCUGGCACUGACACUGCAGAGGCGCACCCCGGCGGACGGUCCACUUGCACACCGGCAGCCACUCGGGUGUUGGGCCUGUGCAGAUGAGGCACAUCAUCUUUCCUCUAGUCCGGCACUGGGCAUUGGUUGCAGCAGCACAGUGCCAGCACCCUCCAAAUGGACAUGCAGGUCCUGACCUGAUCUUUGCUGCACAGCUGCACGAGUGCGCUGAUGCGACAACCUUGCACCCCUGCCAAUCCAACUCCAGCCACCCUGUGCAUGUGUGGCCGCCUGACAACUGUCUGGCAUCACAGUUGCAGACAAACAACAGGCAGCCCCGGGCCGGGGCGGCAGCAGCCCUCAAGUGCAGAUAAAAGUCACGCCGCACUUGGUCGCCAAGCGACUUGCAGCCUGCCGCUGAACUGCCCGCUGGUAGCUGAGCUUCAAAAUCCUCAUUGCCAUCUAAGUGAGGCCGCAGCUCUGUCAGUGCCGUGCUGGCCCAAUGCCGGGCCAUCACCUCUUUGGCGCGCUGCUGCACAAGUUCGCUGCCAGCUUCGUGCAACUAUGAUGCCAAUGGACAGAUGCUGCUGUUUGUGGAAAUCCGUGCUAAUCUGUCGCCAAUGGGCAAAGGCUGGUGUGGUUGGCGAUCUGAGCUUUGAUGAACAGCAUACAUUCAGUCAUUGCCUUGCAGAACACUAACACUUACAGGGUCGCUCGAAUCCUUGCAAUGCCUUCGCAUCAUGGUCCCUUUCAAUAUGACACGCCCCCUGUUUGGACACGACCUAACUGGCGGACGUGUGCAGGUGGACGACCCCGCCACUGUGGAUCUGGUUUGGUGCAAGGUCGCUGCGCUGGAUGUCGGCCAGCUGUGGAGCAAGCUGUCUCAGCAUAAAGCAGCAGGCAGUGCUAUGCACAAGGUGGACAUGGUGGGCCAUGCGUACAUUGCUACUGACAGCAGCAACAUGGCCGGAUGGUAAGGCAAGCAGGGAGUGUAUGCAGAGGGUGCAGCAGGCCUGGGGAAUGCAAGGAGGGUGCGGCAGGGUCGCGACUUUGGGUCGGGCGUUUUCAGAAAUGGGCGGGGCAGCAAGGCGUGCACAGGGGAUGUGCCUGGCGUGCACCUUGAUGGGCCAGCAGCCUUGUGCAGGCUGUGCACCCCAUCUUUGCGUGCUGGGUGACCAGGUGUGUGUGGUGCAGUCAGGGAGCCGGCGCAUCAUACAGGCGUCUGAUCCUCCGUGUCUGCAUUCCGGCAGCCUGAUUUUGGAAGACUGGCACUGCACAGCUGUAAUGUGUGAGAAGCAUGCUGUGAAGGGAGGGCCUGUGCAUGGGGAUGUGCCUGGGCUGCUGCUGGAUGGGCCACCAACCUUGUACAGGCUGUGCACCCCAUCUGGGUUGUCCAGGGUUGACCAGGCCUGCAUGGUGCAGUAGGCGAGCCAGUGCCAUCUACAGGUAUCUGAUCCUCUGCCACUGCAUUCCGGCAGGCUGUUGUAGUAGAGGGAUGUACAUCACGCCUGUUAUGCAUUGGUUGCAGGCUGUGGAGGGAGGGCAUGCGCAGGGGAUGCGCCUGGUGUGCUCCUAGAUAGGCCACAAGCCUUGUACGGGCUGUGCACCCUACCUGGGCUGUACUGGAUUGACCAGGAGUGCACGGUGCAGCGGGCGAGCCAGCACCCCAUACAGGCGUCUGUCCCUCUGCCCCUGCAUUCUGGCAGGCUAUUGUGGUGAAGGGUUGUGUGGUGGGGAAGAUGGAAACGGAAUCGUGAGCACUGACUGAGAGUUGCUGUGGUGUGUCUGCAGGUAUGCGCCAAUGUGCCAGCAUGAUGCAGAGUGCCUCCAACCAGGCGUAUGCUUUUCGGCAGCCACCCAGCUGGCCGAAGCCAUCUACACCAUGGCUACUAAGCACUUUCCGUGCAUGGCGGCGCUCAGGCAAGUUAAUGCGCAAUGCAGGGUGCACCGCAGGCAGGGCUGGUGGGCUGAGAUGGCAUGUUGCCAUGGUGUGAAGCUGCUGCAUGCGCCUUUUUUGGCACAUGGUUGCAGGGAGAAGCUGGUGACCUCAGACACGGCGCGCUAUCUGCUGGGUGGCACACCUUUCAACCUGGUGGCGCGUACAAGCAAUGAAGGGGUGCAGCUGCACUUGGUCACCCUGGUCAUGCUGGCAGCUGGCGCUUUGGAGCACAGCACCAUCGUGCCAGUGGUCCCGCCCGGCAGUGAGGCAGUGCAGAUGGGCUUGUCCGUGUUUGUGCGGCCCUGGGACGUGCAGCAGCUGCUGGCGUGUGCAAUAAACGCUGGCGUGUCCCAGGAGCUGCAAGCCAUGCAGGUGCAGGUGCAGGAGUGGCUGAUGCAGGCAAAGACCGCUUGCAGCUGCGUGGUGGUAUGUGAGGCAGCCAAGGCAGAGCGUGCAGCUGUGGAUGCACUGCCGGGUGGAGCUGCUGUAGACAGGUUGUUUGUGGGUUGGCAGGCACCUAGUGUGGUGGUCGGGCUGCAGGCGACUGGCAGCUCGGAGAUCAACGCAGACUUCUGGGAUGGCGAGGACAAGUCUGCCACCGCAGAGGAGGUAAUGUUGCACCUCAGCGCCAUUGGCCAGGCGGUUCAGGCAGACAUGGUGGUGGAGGUGCAGCUGCUUCCCCACCAGGGCAGCAUCUUCUCCGCCCUGAUGGAGGAGGGCUAUCUACCGCAUCAAUGAUUCUCUCGACCCGCUCGCGCCCACACAGCUGCCCGCGGCCCCCUCACACGGACGGCCCCCCUGAUGGCGGACGGUGUGCUGGGAGGCGGUGGCUAGCAACGGAAUCUGGGUGCAUGGCCUACAUAAAUAGCUGUGCAUUUUGCAUUAUAGCCCCAAGAGGUUGCUUCGUGCCAAACGGUAUGCCAGCAUCAGGGCUUAGGCGUCAGGGUUGUGUUCGGCUAUCAGCUCUGUGCAGGGCAAAGACUGUGAUCUAGCGUAGGGCCGGCGUCGACUAGGACAUGGUACGGUGUCAGGAGGUGUUGAGCACGGAGGAACAGGACACAGGAAGAUGCCUAGCAUGGGGCCAGCACACGGCACCAAAGAUGGUUGUAGGGAGAGGUAUGGAGGACAGAUCUUCUGGUCUGGCGGUUAACUCGAUGAUAAAGUUCUCCUCUUACCCCCGCCCUUACCCCACUGUGUCGUCACACAACUUACCCUGUGAGCUCCUCUUGCGCAUUUCCAACAUAAGACGCCAAUGGCAUAAAAGAAGUUUCAGCGGAUGCACCUUUUCACCGCAGGCUAGUAACAGUAAAGUGGUCCCGGGGUACCAUUAAAUACUAAUACAGCAUUUUUGAGGUUUAAUUGACGGUUUCGCGAGGUUCGCAUGAGGGUCCAAAAACUAUUUCGGCAUCGGCAGUACAGUUUCGGCUAGAGCCCUACAGAUCAGUCUCACCCCACGACAGGCCUAGCAUUGUGAAUGCAGAGCUACACAUCAUCUGCGUAGAGUUUUAUUUGAUUACAAACAUUCGUUAAUUAUGGAGGAUAACCUGCUGGUUGUCGUUCGCUGCCUCGAGGCGCGCAUCUCAGGCGCGGUUCAUUCACGCCUUUGAAAUAGCUUUACAUCCCUACGUACUUGUCAAGAGGCGUUCUGUGGAAACUCGGAUGGAUGUAUGGACGUUACAAGCUUAAGCGAGCUCGUACACCUCAAACGAACCCGAAGGGCGAAGGCCCAUGAACCGCUUCAAUCACGUAAGAUAAUCUGAGUAAAUAAAAUAAGAUAGCACACAGCUAUGACAAAAACAGAAAGUACCGAACACGGCAUUACGAAUAGAUGCCGAGGACAGCCGUGUACACGCAAGCUCUAGGCUCGCCAGCAUAAAAUGCAUUCAUCUUCAACGACUCCAUUGUUGCCACAUGCAGCACAAACACGAUGCUCCCUAAACCGGUUGCUCACACUAUUAACCGCCGGAACAGAAACGUAUAAAUGUAAUCGGUUCAAUAUGACAUCAAACGUUUCACCAGAAGUUCUAUAGAUUCUUUUGGGAAUUUUAACGAAUUCCGGCGUGCAUAGACACAGUACCGGCAUGCAUGCACAUACCCACACACGGAGAGAGGCGCCCAGGGUGGGCAGCCGCGCCUGCUCAAGGUGCAGGCUGCAUGGGCGGAACUGUGCCACGGCGAGUGCUGAGUUUGUUUGUUUGCGGGCCUUGGUAGCCACUGCGCUCUCUUUCCUUCUGUGCACACCCUCGGUCGAGCAGCUCCUCUCCCCACACAAGGAGACUGCUUCGGCGGUCGUUCCCGUUGGGGUACGGUUAGGUGGCCCUGGCCAGUGUCAGGCCCGGAUCGAUAUGCAACACACACACACACACACACACACACACACACAAAACAAAUAAACAAACCAAACACUUACUUACAAACAAACAAACAAACAAACAAACAGACAGACAGAAGCAAAGACAUCCAUUUAGGCGGGCCUCUGGCCCAAGCCAACCAAAUGUUGUUUUCGUAACCCUGGUUAAGGAAGGGCUAUGAAUGGAAUAACGGGAGAAGUUGUGGAAGCAGGAACCGGUCACCGAUGGCAUCCAGCCGACCGCAACAGCGCCGUCGGCCCGCAGAAAACGUAAAGAGAUGAAAAACAAGAAACAGCUCCGACAAGAAAAUGGAGAAAAGCUGGGCAUGGUGGCGCCCAGGCUGCCCGGACCGCGGGCGGUCAACUGACAAGCAACUCAUCUCCUUCGUCCUCAAACAAAGUAAGAUUCACAGCGGAGAUAUGUCCCACACGAUGUGCAAACCAGAUGUCUGGAUGGUGCAGCAAUGCGAUGUGGCGAUGUAAAUACAAGGACCCGUACACGGCCGCGGCCCCAAUGGCGCAGAGCUCAGCUUAGCCCAGUCGAUAUGGCAGGGCAGUGGAAGUUCUGGGGUGAAAGGGCGGGCGGGAUCCACAUCGGCCCUAUGGGCUCUGACAGCAAUGUGAAUCGAUGUGUUGGGCGGAUGUUGGGCGGACGGGGCCGCUUACAAGUACUGUUUGUGUACGUACGGCGUUAUUAGCAUUUUUCAGUAUACUUCAGCCUGGUUCAAUUCAAGUAGAAGGUAACACUUCCACAUAUCAAUAAAGAAACUUGCGAGUUGUGUAGUUAAUAGAGUGAUCGCGGAGGACUUCGUGCGGAGAUACUAAGGGCAACAUUUCGUCCGGAAGCUGAUCGCCCUGGUCGCGCUUUUUGGCUUUUCGGCCAUACAUGUCAAUGCGGGUAAAAUGGGAUUUGAUGUAGACAGCUGAAGCAAGCAGCUUUUUUUUACCCGUGCGCUGUUGGAUUGCCAUUGAUGUUCUGAGGGCCACCGGUAGUGGUACUUGCAUUCUUCGUGCUGGGAGAAAAUGGCACCAAUAUUACAUGAAACUAAAAUUGCUACAUGAAAUUCACUUCGUGGCUGCAGGUUCGCUUAACUGCACUGCGUUCAUGUUCCUACUGAACAGCUUCGACGGCGAGAAUCUCGCAAUUUCCUUGGCGACUCAAGGGCAGCCAAACAAAAUCGAAAUUCUCGACCUCGCAGCUUUGCCAAAGGUAGGCCAAUUGCCAUUGGAGGUAACUGCUGACAUCGUCAUGGCGAAAUGCUGCCAAGGUCCGGCACAGAGCUGAAAAAUGUCUAACCCAUAGUGCAAAAAAUCGCUAUUAUAAACAGGUAUGCCAUUUGGACUCGUAAGAAAGCAAGAAACCCCUCGUGCGAAGGCUAACUGUCUGUUCUGAUCCGCCCGCGUCGGCGAACUCGCCCUCUCCCUUUGCGCUCCCCACAGCCCGCCUCCAACCUGACCUGGGAUGACGCCAUCAACUCCGUCCGCCUCGAGUGUGCUUGCACCAGUGGAAACUGCUCAAGCGACUACGCGUGAGUUACUAGCGUCACUUUCGCAAUCCCCGUUAUGCCGUAUGGGGCACCACGCGCCCUCCUUUCUGGGUGGCGUAUUCCCUCAUCUACCUUCCUGCGGAGACCAGUAAUCCGGUAGCCCGUUUAAUGUACAGACGAACCUGCAUAGCUAUAAUAGCAACCGAUCACUUUUGCCCACAGGAAGGUGGUCUUGCGCCUCUUCGCGCAACCCUAUUGGCGGAAUGUCGGCGGAGGCGACCAGCUCAACGUCAGCUGCUUCCCGACCUCCAUGCCCGUGUGUGUCUCGAUGCUUCCGACCAUGCCGGCUGGCUGGGGCGCUCGAGCCAGUGCCGUGGCACUUCUUUACGACAUGCCGGACUAUGUGCUACCCGCCGCACCGCCGAGUAAGACGGGCGGCGUGGUGGGUGUGGGGGCGAUCUAUGGCCUGGUCGGGGUUGGGCUGGGCUCGGGGAUGUCAUAGCCUGGGAGGCCCACAGGACACACGCGGUGCGGGUGUACGGCACUGACGGGGAGGAAAGUGCAUCCCCCGGUCUACACACGCGAUUAACUCUUGACCAAACCCCUCCCUGCGCCACCACCCCAAACCCAUCAUAGGCUCUCCCCCUCCGGCGACGCAGCCCAGCCCAACGCCAAGUCCCAGCUCCAGUCCAACCCCAAGCCCCAGCUCCAGUCCAACCCCAAGCCCCAGCUCCAGUCCAACCCCAGCCCCAAGCCCAACCCCAAUGCCAAGUUCCUCCCCCUCCCCCAGACCCCUUCCCAGCCCUGUCCCUAGUCCCAGUUCCAACCCCAGCCCCAGGCCGCCGCCCCAGUCAAAGGCCAAGCCAAAGCCCCCUCCCAUGGCGAAGGGGAAGGCCCCUCCAAAGAAGGAGACCCCCAGGGCCGCUCCCGCCCGUGGAUAGACGAACUGACCCAAGAGCCUCCCCGGCCAUAAGCCCCAUCGUGAAGUAGAGAGGAUGUGGCUCCGAGCAGGACAUGCGUAGCCGGCACAUCCCGCCACUGCCGCGGGAGGUGCAAGGGGUUUCGGCGCUUGGUGACGGGAGGUUUCACGUGCUGGUGCUGCGGAUCCAGACACUGUUUCAUUUCUAUGCUCAAGGGCUGCUUUGCUUCAUUAUGAAAGAUGCCCUGGGGGCGUUGUAGGCGUUUUUCUCUUUGUUUCUGGUCGCCGUGAGUCCUGUUGCCGUAACAUUUUUUCUGGUGGUGCAAUUUCCCCGUAUAGGAUAGCUGGAUCAUUGCAGUCCAACCACGAAAAUUGUCAUAGAGGUCAAGUAUUUUGUAUCGGCGUUAUUAGGAUUGGUAGGGGGGCCGCAAGAGAUGGAAACCGAAAUAAGUUGGCAAUCACACUCACCACAACAGGUGAUGCCAACAGUUGGGGCCUGCAGUCGGACUGUGCGGACGAGCAGCCACGUAAGGCAAGGAACUUGGAAUCCUAUCAUAUUUACAACAAUUCCUAUUGUCUCAACAUAUUUUUUUGGGGUAAGUCGCACUUGCUGUAGUGUUCCAAGUAGGGCCCCUAUCUAGAAUGUGCCAAACAAGCACGCUAUUAUUUGGGUAAUCCAACCUGCUUGCCUUGUCUUGGUUUCAUCAUGACCGAGACUCCCCCGCUGGCAUUAAUUAGCUUUACCUCGGAGGUCUGGGAGACUAGGCACGCAGCGCUCCGGCGCUUCGCGUUCAAACGAGAACGGGAGGACGGCCCCCGACACCGUAACAUGAACUUUCACUAACGGUCCAUGGGGGCCCCCCGGCUUUGGCGGACCCCUGUUGACUGGACACUGUAACUGUCGUUAUGAGUUCGCCCCCGGUGUCAACUGACUGUCACGUUGUUGCACUGAAGGGUCAACUGUGUGUACAGUCUUGAGCCUGCGGCAGAAGCACCUCGUUCUGCUGCCUGCCGCGCUCACGGCGUUGCGCACAGCUGUCCCUUGGGAUCUCCGUACGGCAGAUCUUGGUGUGUUGUAAGGUUUAACCAGUCGCAAGGUGAGGGGCCACACAUUUUGCACCAACACACACUCGGAAUACAUUCAGGAUCAAUUCCAACCCUGACCCCCUCCCAGGUGUUGCUGUGCUUGGUGGUGUUGUACUCUUAUGUGUCGGACCCGUCGCAUGAUGCCCUUCCCAACACUUUCCUUCGACUGGUGCUGCCCGCGGCAGUUGCCGUGCUUGUCGCGGCGUCUGUGAGAAGAUAAAGACAAAACAAUAUACGGUUGCAGCGCAACAAUACGAAGCACCUGGUCGGCGCUUUUGACGUGUUCGGUCGAUGAAUUGUAAUAAUGUGUUGCACUACUGCUCUAAGACGAUUCCGCAACAGCUUUCGCCAGCUGCUGCGCCGGAGCUCCACACAGAGCAGACUCAGCACCCCGCCCCUGGAUCGACCCCGUGUUCGCCACUGCUACCUGCCAAGGCCACCCUGACGCCGGUGGGUGUGCACAUACGCGGCCCCGUGACCCCACAGCAUCACCGCCACCUCUGCGAGGACCUAGCUAGCAAGCAAACCGUUUACGUCCCCGGAUACAACAGCCACAGCAGAGAUAUAUCCCGGAUGACCUGCCCCAAAUUCAGCACAGGUCAACACAGUCGCCCACAGACCGCUGCAACCGGAGCCCAGCAAUGUGUUCGUUGAAAAUCAUUUAUCCAGAGUCCCGAUGCGUCUUAACCUCAGUCAGCUAAGGCAACCCUGUAUCGCCUACAGGGCGAAACCCGUCGGCAGGCCCCAUCCACUUUCCACGCAGAUGGCGACCGCCCUCUCCGGGGGCCGGGGCUGAGCCCUCCCCCGCCCUCUCGCCUCUCCAGACAUACAAAUACAGUCCGCACACCUGCUGAGUGCCUCUCAAUGGACUGAGCCGCGAGGAGGAGGAGGAGGAGGGGGAGGAGGUGCUACCGGGCAACUUUACUAAACAAGUUGUCCAGCAAUGAAGUGGCAGGAAUGUGAUGUUGUUGAGAUGUUCACAUCGGGAGAAUGAGCGAGCCAGAGCGAGCUGAAAUACCAAUUACUGUUUUGUGGCGGCGUACUAUUGAUGAACUGGCGAUUUGCUACGUGUGGUGUGUAGCUAGAGCUAACUACAGACUACGAAAGGACCUGGAGCCCCAACUAAAGUAUGCUCCUAGCAGGGACGCCUCCCCAAACAGUCCUGAACAACCAAAAAGGCAAAGGGGGGCCACUUUGCACCCAAUGCGCGUGCGAUGCCGACGUUAAAUAGUGCGUCUGGCCGUAUGUUGCACACAACUUGAGGCAGACCUCCUCCUAGAUGAUAUUUCCCACCUCCACUCGGUGCGGUGGACCGGGUGCAUGAGGCGAUAUGUAAGUAGUUCGCUCACAGCCCCACCGGGUCCGCCCGGGAGUUGUGCAGCAGCUGUGUGUCGAACUCCAGUGCUGCGGAGCCCCACAGUCGGGCCAGCUGCUGGUAACAGGCGGAGUCCAGGUACAGCGGCCGGCCGCGCCGCAGGUCGGGAUCCUCGUCGCCUAUCCGGUGGGGGAUUAGCGUGGCAGGGGGUGGGGCAAAAGGAGGGUGUGGGAGGGCAGAUGCAGGGAGGCGGAAGAGAGUUAACACAGGGAAAGAAGCAUCCGAGAAGCAUCACAAAAGCUGACCGAAUCUGCCUUAGCUGCAAUGGCUACAAUACCGGUGGUGGUCGUUCAUUCCUCCUGAAGGUGGUGUACUUAUUACAGCUAACUAGUUCCAUGGUGUGACCAGCGGGGCAGCAGAGGACCUCUUCACUCCGGCGCUACCCCAACGUAUGUGUUGUACGCCGGGGCCUAAAUGCUACAUGCCGGUGCCGCCCGGGGUAUUCAGCUCCGAGGGAGCACCACCCCAUUGUGGUGAAAAAGUCGCUCAUCCGCCUGGCCUCACCACCGCACCAACAGCCCCACUAUCGCCACCACCAUUACCAGGACGCAACCUCCCAUUUCUCCUGUACAGCACACCAAGCCGUGCCCUGCCCCCAGCCAGUGCCUCCAACCCAGUCCGCCAAACACAUGCAAACACCAGCCCAACCCUGUGCGCAAACCACACAAACUCCUCCCCCAAAACCGGCGUUACUUCUUUCGUCAACUCGCUCCCUCCACCCCUCCUCCACCCGGGGCGGUGUGCAUCCCCAAUCUUCUGGCGCCGACCCCUCCUAUCCCCCAUCAAGCCCCUCCAAACACCCCUUCCCAGCUCUCCCCCCAUCCCUUUCCCUUUACUGCUCCUCCCCCCUUCCUCCUCGUCCUUCCACUGCCCACCCACCGUGCGCAUCCAGAUAGGGUGACUGGCACAGGGCCAGUCGGUUACCCCGCAGCGCCACCACCCGGGUGGAGCGCAGGCUUAGCAGCAGACAGGAACCCCCGCAGUGCUCCCGGGUGUGCAGCAGACCGCCUCCCACACCCCCGCCUCUGCUCCCGGACGCCCCGCCGCGCAGGUCCCCACAGCCCCGCCACAGGUUGCACACGAAGCGGCCGGUCAGGAGGCACAGCGCCGGGUUGUCGGGCUUGGCGCCGCACCCGGAGCAGUGAGCGUCGGCGAAAUGCAGGAAGAGGCUCUGACGUGGCGAGCGGAUAGGCACCGUGGGGGGGACGCAGGUGCGGGAGGUGGUACGGGCAGUGGUGUCAGGGCGAAGUCAGGGCAGGGCAGGGCAGGGGUCGGAGGGUUGUUAAAAAGGACCAACAUGGAGGCGCCUGAAGAGGCGUCAGUGCGGGCGUGGGCGGCACCAGCCCUGUGGUAAAUUGUGAUGACGGGGGCGGGUCGCGUGCACAUGACCUUUUGCACACACAACCUGGCGCGCAGGUGGACCCCCAUUCCCUGAAUGGGAAUUCCUUCCACUGGGAGUCCAGGUACAGGGAUGCAGGCACUGCCCCGACAUGUCCUCGGCACCUCGGCCGGCAAAGGUAGCUCUGAGCUCCCGCCUGUGUACAUUGACGUCCCCCAUCACCCCAUCUCACCCCACCAAGCUGCGUCCUGGUCUAAGAGCCCCGGAGUCGAAGCGCAGAGGGCACCAGGCGGGAAACCGCCCCACCUGGAAGAGGUGCGGCAGAGGAAUCAGUGACGGCGGAGGCGGUAGUCCACGGAACCACGGCAGCACCUGGCCAGCCGGCGGGCGCCGAGGAUGAGGACGAGGUUGCGACUGGGGCCUGGGUAGGGCGGCAUCGGCACCUGCAGUCGGAGUACCCGCCUCCGGGCCCUCACCCGCAGCCUCCACUGCCGCCCAAUGAGGCUCUAGGGACGAGGAGUGCUGCACCUCUACCGCUGAACCGACCGCCGACGCCGACGUCAGAGCCAGGGCCCUCGGGCCACACCACCUGGACAGGAUACAUGCCAAAAUGUGCUCGUCAAGAUUCAGAUCCAAGGUCGUACUCGAAUCCGUAUGGUUCAUGCAUUGUGGCUCCGGUGCGAAAUGGUGAUCGGGUCCAUAAGCAGCCGUUGCAGUCGCUUCUGAUGCCACCGCCGCCGCCGCCAGCAUGGCUUCCGCAGCGCGGCGGCGGCUCAGGAGCAGCGGCUCCCGCAGAGCGUUGGCGGCAUCACUGAGACCCAGAGCCCCCGACAGGCGGUUCGCAAGGUCAACCACACGCGCCGCCGCGUGCAGCUCCUCGGCCUUCACCUCCGCUGCAGCCGCUGCAGUCUCGGCCUCUCCAGCUGGCCCCGUCUCCAACACCACCCCCUCUCUCGUUACGUCGGUGCGAAUACCGGCUGCUGAUGCUGAGCCCUGGGCCAAUGAGAUUCCAGUGUCCUCUGGCGCGCGACCAUCACCAUCACCAGCACCAGCAAUAGCAGCAGCAUCAGUAAUGUCGGUGUCCAGCGUAGUCGCCACCGCGCCCGCGCCAGGCGCCAGUGCUUGGGGUCCACCAUCAGGCUCCUUCACACGAUGUCCUCGACCGUGCGGUUGCCGUGAAUGUUGGUGUUGGUGCGGGUCGGUUGCUUGCUGCCGCAGGUCAUGACGGCGGUGCCGUGCAUGGGAGCGGCUCGUACCCCUCCCAGGCGACGGGAGGGGUAGGGAGGAGUACGCGGCCAUGAGCUCGGGGUCCGGGCUCUCCCCCCGGAGUGCGCAGUCCAGGGCGUACACACGGACCAGGAAGGGCAGCAGGGCGGCGCUCAGACUGCCCAGCGCCAGGCCAGGACGGCCACCACCGCCCCUGCCGCUGCCGCGACUGCCAGCAGAGCCGGUGCCCUGCGGCUCCCGCGGCUGCGGUUGCGGUUCCUGAUGUGUGACCUCUCCAAGUGCCAGGUGGUACAGCCCAAGCAGGCGGCUGCCAGCCAAGGACGGCUGCCGGCGCUCCUCCGGCUCCAGCAGGGGUGGCGGUGUUGGUGGUUCCGGUUCCCGUGGGGGCGAGGUAGGGAAUGCGGAAGCGGGCUGCGCCCCAGCAGCCGCACACGAACCCGGGCCGGCCGCUGUCGCCGCACCCCACAGGGCCGCCUGGACCACCUGAGUGUGGGGAGGGAGGGGGGGAGGGGCGCCGUACAGUUGAGCCACAGCCGGAGCCGGCAGGAAAAUGCCUGGCCGGUGUGGAUAUUGCCCCUACCGUACGGGGGUAGCAAAGAAUACGAAGCCAAGGGAUCCACCAGCACGGAAAAGACCUGCGGUACAGCUCGGCUUCCUUGCACGUCAAAGCCGCAAGUCGGUCCAUUAAGCAGCGGCGCCGGCUAUUUCAUAUUGCUUUGGCGUCAGUCGCCCUAUCAGCAUCUGCUUUGAUAUUAAUUUCAGGAGUCUGUCCGGUUGCGAUGGAUCAAGUCCAUCGGUAGAACGGAUGCUCGUGGGCCAUCCUUAUUAUCGGAGUCAUGUAGAGACACACACCCGCACACACCUGGAUGGGCCAGACAAGUUGCAGCACAGCUCGCAGCAGCUGCGACGGGCUCCUGGGCAGCCACGCCUGGGGGGAGGACUCGGCUGAGGCACACCCACCAUUGCCGGCCCUGGCUCCGCCACCACCACCCGAUGGUGCCCCACUCGCUGCCCCCGUGGGCUCCUCCCCCCGGCGCGGGCGCCGACCGCCCUCCUCGGGGGGCACCGGAACUGGCAGUGAGGCCCCCGCCAGGCCGGAGAGUCCCACUGCGGGUCCAGGGAGGGGGCGAACAGCGCCGACUAGAUAGUGCUCUAUUUUUUGACACAGCGGCGGUCCCUCUCUUCGCACGCGCGGACAGACACAGACAGCCGCCCCCUGUGCACAUCCCUGGCUACGAGGUGCGGCGCAUCCGCAGCAGUAGCCCUGCUACGCUGCAUGAGGCGCCCACACCGGAAAGACGCUUUUCUCGUCUGUGCGGUCGGGGGCCUCAGGAACCAGUGCCCUGCGAGUUGGUGCUUCAGCUACUCCUAAACGAAGUUUGGGGUGGUUACGCCGGUACGCGCCAACAACCGCUUCGUCAGGAUGAUUCGUUGCAACACCAUGAUGUCAUCCACGUACAUUUGGUAACUUGAUGCCGCUGUACAGGAGGUGAAGCAUGAACGGUCAGGCAUACGAGCAGGCAGGGGUGCUUAAGGAGCGAAGUGGCUAUCACUGACUGACUCCUGGGCUAUCCGCCUAAAAUGACCCCACCCCAGCCCCACCUCCCUACCCGCCAGGAGCUCCAGCACCAGCAGCAGCGGGUCCCCUACCAGCUCGUCCACACCCGCAAGCCGCCGCCAGCUCAAUGCCGCCACGUAGGCGGAGGUGUGCGACUGAGCGCCACGGGUGCGGAGGCUGGGCGCAUCACCGCCAGCAAGCGUCGCCGCCAGCCGCGGGAUCACCACCUCCGGGAGGUACGGCGGCAAGAAGCUGCAGGUCAGGUCCAGGGCGGCCGGCGGCGGCGGCGGCGCUGUGGCCGCCGCCAAAGGCCUUUCCUCAAUCCCUCCGGCUCCAGCAGUUGCCACACCGCCUGUGCUCGCGGGUGCCGACUCUUGUGAAGGUUUCAUCAUCGUCGCUAGCGGUGGUGGCGGGGCCUGAGCCCCUAGGAGGGUUGGCAGGUCGCACAACAGCCAGCGGAGCUGGUUGUGGAAUGAGGCCAGCAGCGGCUGCAGCUGUGGAUUGGGCUGCUGCCGGUAGUGCGGUGCUAAGAGAGUGAGGGCGGGGGUGGCACGGGGCCGGUACGCGAGGUAAUGGGAGGACUCUGGAGGUGUCGGUGAUGAUGACACGAUGUGAGCUGUCGUAUGGGCCGCUGGGCCCAGGCCAGGUCCGACACCUGCCGGCCCUGCACCGCCAGCAGCGGCGGAUCCGCCGCUGCUGCCCCCGCCGGUUCCCACCUGCCUGGCGCCGCCGCACACCGCCAUCAUUGCCAGCGCUGCCAGGGCUCGCCAGUGGGCCGCCUCCACCGCCGGUAGUCCGGUCACCGCACCCGCACCGGGGCUGCUGCAGCUACCGACAGCAGCAGCGGCGCCGGCAGCGUCUGACGACGUGCCCAACACGCCCGCCGCCAGCGAGACGGGCCGCCUGACGGCUUCAAAAUGAGCCAGGUUAUGUGCCAGUGCUGCCCAUAGACGGCUGAGCGGCGGGACGCCCUUCCAGGCCGCCGUCACAUCAGCUACCCGGUGACAGCUCAUAACCAGGGGCGGCUCGGCUGGCGACGCGAGCCGCAGCGCCGCUAGCGCCGACCCAGUCGCUUGGCUGUAGCUGCUGCGACUGGUGCCGCGGCUGACGGACAGGCCUGGAAAUAGACUGGGGGAGGGCUGUGACGAGAUGUUGACCGCAGCAGCUGCCGUCGUGGCGUCGGCUGCGGGACCUACCCCCCCUCCGAGCGCGUCUGCAGCGGUUGGGGACAGCGCUACAGGCGGAUGGCUGGCUGCCAGCUGCGCCGCUGCUGCUGCUGGUUCAUGCGUCUGCCACUGUGGCUGGGGACCUUGUUGCCCUGUAGCAGUAGGAGUGUUGACGGCGGUGGGCUGCGGCGGUGCUGUUGCCUGUGGUGCGGAGGGUCCCGGGGCCGGGGCGAGUGGGGUGGCCGGGGCAGGGCUGAGCAUGUUCCGGAACUUCAUGAGUCGCGCCCGAGCCUCCAGUGCUCUCUCCAGCUGCCCCGUGUGAUUGACACCCUCGCGGGUCAUCUGGAGGGCCACCGCGGCGGGAGAGGGAGGGGAGGAAUGGAGGGUGCAGGUACGCAGGAAGCAAAGGGCCUACUGCUGGAGUCCAGGGGAGGGCCAGGAAGGGGUGACGUGUGUGAACUUGCGUUAAGGGGAUGACGCACCCGGGGGGUUGUACGGGGUAGGUACUUGGUGGGACGCAGAUAGCGGGAGUUGGUUACCACAUGUGGGACACACGCUGCAAAUACCCAUCCCUAACCCCAACCCUUCCCCAACCCUCACCUGGUGCGUUGCCAAGUUGACCACCUCGCCGUACAACCCAAACGUGCGCUCAAACAUGCAACCACGGCCGCCCAGCCCCAAACUCGGGCCAGUUUCUGAGCCCGGAUUUAGACCCGCAACCACAGCCGGCUCCCGGACCUGAGUCCCGCCCGGCGCCCUAGCCAGCCUCUCCGCCCUCGGCACCGCCACCGCCGCUUCUGCUGCCGUCCUCGCACACAGCUCCAGGGAGUCCAUCAGCCCCUGCAGCGAACCCAGACCCCUGGGGGGCAUCAGCGGCGCCUGUGAGGCAGCAGCACUGGGCCUAGUGCCAGCAACCUGGAUAGCCUCAGGUCCAGGUGGUAAAACGUCUGCGCCCGCCGGCGGCUGCGCCAGCGCAAACGCAGGCGCCGCGCCGGCCGAGAGAGACACACAUGCGGCGUGCUGCCCGUCUCGCUGCCCCCACUUGCUUUUCAUCCGCGAGGGCGCCGUCGCUGCUGCUGCUGCUGCCGCCCGGAAGAUCUCGUUCAUGCUGCCGCCCGUAUCCAUGUCAUCUCCUCCCGCCUCGCCGCCGCCGCCAUUGCUCGCCAAGUCCAGGCCCGGGCCGCACAUGUCGGUGGGGUGACUGGACGCUCCAGACAGACCCGCACCGGAGCCGAGAACAGUGGCGAGGUCGAGGCGGGGACCAGACCAGCUGAGCCCCACCGCCUCUGUGGCCGGCUGCGGCAGGGAGUCUUCCUGUGAGGCUCCGGAACCUACCGCUGAGGGCGCUGCCUGAGGUUUCGCCCGCGUGCGCACCUGCGCUGGUGCCGCUGCCGUUGGCUGUCUCCACUGGAAUGGCGCCGCCGGCACAAUUCCGUUGGCCAAUCGGCGGCACACGGGGCAGAGGAACUCGGACAGCUCGGGCAUCACCAGGUGAGAGCCGGGGAAGUGGUUCCCAGCCAGGUACUGCCGCAGCUGACCAGCCACGAAGCGGGCUGGGUAGGGGUCGCGGGCAAGCGGGCGGAGGAGGGGAGGAGGGAGGGCGUGUCCCCCAUCCGGUUGUCUGCGAGCAAGGCACGCCGGACUGGAGAGCCUGCAGGACCCUGGUUGACCUCCUGGGCUUUCAUGAGGUGAGAGCGCAGCCGCCCGGGGCUGGUCAGGAAAGCGACAAUAGACAAUAGACAGGCAGGGAGGCGGAUACCUGGUAACAGGCGGGCAGGCAGACGGGUAGGUGCAAGGACAGACAAGGAAAUGUGCCCACCCACCGGCAGCACCAGCCCGUAGGCCCCAAGGAUAAGGGGCCGACAGCGGACAGCAACGACUCCAGCCUGUCCUGUCCUAGGGCUCACCGAAGCAGUGCACGUGGAUCAUGUGGCCGCAGCAGUGCACAUGGGGGCCCCCGCCCACGUCAGCCUCGCUGACCCAGGGACCGUAAUGCCGCCACAACCGCGACCGUAACUCCCGCGCCGACACGCUAGGGUGGGGCAGGGCCGCAACUCCACCACCACCAAGACCAAUCCGCGUGUAAUCAGCUGAGGCUUGGCGGUCUGAAGGCGCCGGAGGUGCCGACCCAAAUGCCGCCGCCGACGUACCAGCACCGCCGCCGCCGCCGCCGGGCGCUCCAAAGCCAUGCAUGACCAGAUCGUCGUCCCAUCCGCGAGCUGGUCGCAGCGGUGCAGCCGUACAGAAGCAGACGGCCGUGUGGGCGAUAAAGGCCAGCGGGCCAUGUCGGCUGGAAGUGGAGCCCUCCCUGCAGACGGCGCACUCGUGAUCCGGGGACUGCACGGGAAGCCAGCGGCCCAGCGGCAGCUGCUGCUGUGCGGCGGCAGCGGCAACUGCUGUUGCGGCCUGACGCUGCGAGGAGCCGUCGGCAGCGGCGCCAGGCGACCUUCGGCGGCGGGUGCGGCGGCGGUUGCCGCUGCUGUCACCUCUUUCAUUUUCGUCGCCGUCGUCCCCUUCCGGAUGGUUCUCCUGGCCGGACAUGCUACCUCUCUCGUCCAAAUCUACGCCGCCGGCAGCGGUGGCCCGGCUGCCGCCGCCACCGCCGUCGCUCGGCCCGGCCCUUCCCCAGUCAACAUCCUCCUCUUCUUCUUCUUCUUCUUCUGUGCUCUCUUCCUGCCCUUCCUCCUCGCUGCUGUGGGUUACCUUCUCGGCAGCACUGUCCUCCUGCUCUUCAUGUUCAUCGUCUUCUUCGUCGCUGCUGUUCAUCGCUCCCGCUCCCUGCCCCGUGGCCUGCCUCAGGAACGCCUCCUGCUGUGCGCGCAGCUUGGCCAUCAUAGCGGCCUGCCGCUGCCGCGCCAGCUCCCUCCGCCGCGCUACCUCAUUCUCGGCCGCCGUAGCAGACCCUGCGGCGGCCUCUCCUACAGCAUUCUCGCCACUGUCAGCGGCAGCGGGCACGCCCAAGUCCGCCGCCGCCGUCGCCGCUGACGCCACAUUUCCCGUCGCGGCAGUCGCGGCGUCAUCCUUCAGCGUCGGCGCGGGUGCGCCCAAUAAGUCCGCGGCCUCGGCGACCUGCAAUAGCCGCCAGGCGACCUGUUGCAACCAUUGCAAGCAGUCAAUCGCCUCAGAGCUAAGUAGGUGUACCAACACCGUCCCAGCUCCCGCCGCUGGCCCUAUCGCUCCCGCCGCCCGGCUGCGCUGCUCGGGCCCCGGCGGUGUCUGGGACUGCAACAGCGCCUCCAGCAAGCGGAAGAUGCCCACAGUUCCCGAGGACGUGGCGCAGGAAGAGGGAGCGACGGCCCCGUCGGUCGGCCGGUGCGCACGGCUAGGGUGGUGCUGGUGGCUGUGGUUUCCGCGGGCGGAGGAGCUGACGACAGCUGAACAAGCUCCGCCCGCGAGGGCCGCUACACCGGUCAGGACGGAGGUGCGAACCCGCGACAGUUCCUCACCCUGGCUUGGCAGCAUUGACUGUAACCCCUGCUGCUUCUGCUGGCCCUGGCUGGCUGGCUGGUGCUGGUGCUGGUGCUGGUGCUGGUGCUGGUGCUGGUGCUGGUGCUGGUGCUGGUGCUGGUGCUGAUGCUGAUGCCGUCGUUGGCCGGGGUGGCUGUUGUGGCCCAGUCGGCCCAUGAGGUCCUCCAACCUGUGCAGCUGCAGGGCCAGCAGGUUGAGGGCCCCCAGCAGGGCGUCCUCGGGCAGCCGGGGGACGCCUCUUAGGUAGACCUGAGGCCGGGGAGCCCCGGGAGGGGAAAUACGCGCUCCGUUACCGUACGCCUGUCAGUACUCUCAAGGUCGGCACUCUAUUCCCUACAGACGCGGUACAGCCCGCAUGAGGAUGGAAAAGACCCGCCCCGGAGGCGCCCCUCAAGUCCCCGGGCCCUCUCUCAUACCAAGCAAGGCUGGCAAGAUACAACACCCGCCACACACGCACCCACGCACUCACAGACCCACACCCCAGGUCGCCACCAGCCUCCACCUGCAAUACAUACGUCACCAAGCGCCACAGCCCCUUGGCCUCCAGCACCCGCUGCAUGGGCUCCAGAGAAGCAGGCAGGGGGUGUCGCGGCGGCCGUAGCUGCCAGUGCGGCUGGUAAGCCACACCUCCACCACCACCACCACCACCACCACUUGCUCUGGCCGCCGUCAUGGCCGCCUCCCAGGCACGCGACCGCAUGGAGUGUGUAUAGUGUAUGAAGGAGGGGGAGAACAGCCCCCAGGCCUCCCGUCUCAGAGAGUACUGCCGGGCCUGGGACAGGCUGGCGGCUCGGUAGGUGGCGACCUCGGCCAACACCUGAAGGGACCAGACACAGAAGUCCGCCGUGGGGAGGGGGAGCACAAAGGAACACGACUAUGGGACAGAUGUGGUGAACCAGCUUUACGCGGCAAAUGGCGGCAGUGACAGGAGGGUCAGAAACCCCCAUGGUGACUAUAAAUCAACCAUGACAAACAGCAGCCACCGCAAAAGACCUGCCGCAGCGUGCUCAGCAGGGUUCCACCAAUGCCUGGUCUAUUUACGUAAGCAAGGAUUAGUACUAAUUACUGGCUCGUAACCACGAGAACAAAAAGCCAGCGGUAAAUCCUAAAUUGUACAUGCCAAUGCGCACAUACAUGGCGUGCUCGAUUAUACAUACACUCAAGCUUGCGGUCCUGGGGCCCCCCUUCCUUUCACCCGAGCGGGCCCCCCACCUGUUCCAUGUGCGGCUGAUGCUGCAGGUCCUGGGGCAGCAGGUCGUGAAGCUGGUUGUAGGUCCAGUCGCGGAGGGCCAACCACUGGGAAGGUUGCGGGGAUGUGUCCGGGGGUUUGCAGGGGUCAGCGCGAUAGGCGGUACAAAGGGCUGCAGGAAGUCUUGCCUUGUUCUCCAACACCCCCCUCUCGUUUCCUGGCGGACACCGGAAGGCUCGACCCCCCACCCCUGUCUUCCCUCUCCUCCCCAUCCUCUGGUCUCCCACCCCCACCCCCACCCCCACCCCCACCUGCACCAGUGUGUUCCUGAGUCGCUCCCUGGGCUCCAGUCCUGCCACGCUCCUCUCCCGCAGGAUGGACACCAGCCACCGCAGCGCCUCACAGCAGGCGAAGGAGGAGGCCGGGUCAGACAGGCCAGAAGGGGAGGGGGCCGCACCCGCCGAGCCAGCUUCCGGGACGCCAGGGUCGGAUACCCCUGCGGCAGGGAGAGAAGGGUUUGCGCAGUGGGGAGGUAUCGGGCGCAGAUGUAUUUGAUGCGGCACGAUGAUGAAGGAGCGGCACGGUGCAUAUAAUGCCAGCCAGGCCACGAUGUGCAUGGGCAGCGGCACUGGUGACGCCGGCGCCAGCGCCAGCGCACGGCCUGUGGUGACGGCACCGCCGCAGUGGGGACGUACCUGCGGCCGCGAGGAGCGGCUUGGCGCCCAUGGCGGCCAGCGCGUCGUACAGCGCGACGUCGGGGUCCUCUACCGCCAUCCAGCACUGCAGGGGAGGUCGACAGCACGCCCGCACGUGUGCGUAUGCGCCACCAAGGAGACAGAGGGGGGGAUAUGAUUUGCGGAAAGGAAUUGCGCCCUCAGAGUGAGACCAUCCGGUCAGCCACCACACAUCCGCUGUUAUCCGGCACCUGGACAACCCAUCCCAUCCGCCAACCCCACCAUGGCACAGUGUGGCAGCAACCGCAGCAGCGCAUCUCGGGUUUCGGUCCUUAUAGGCUCCAAAACCCCAAUACACACAUGCACGCCUACCCUGAUGUUCCCUGCCCUGCCCUGGCUAUCCUGGCGCACCGUGGGUCCGAUUCCCUCUCCCUUCCCCCUCCCCUCUCCCUUCCCCCCUGUCCCCCCCUGCCUGUAUCAUCAGCACAUCCAGGUCAAUGACCUCUCGGCAAUUCAGCACGAACAGCUCCACCUGGGGGUCCGAGGGGUGGGUGUUGGGCAGUGCGGUGAGGGCCGUGGGUUUCGAGGAUUCGAGGGGGCGAAUGAGUAGCACCGAGUACUACUGCUGAGGGGUGUAGCAGCCGGUACACAGUACGGCUCUACAAAUACGUGCGAAGCGCGACCACCAGCAUCUCGAGAGGCCUUUUCAGCGGCCAGCUACUACAAGGGGUAAGACUCCGGCGCAGUGGUACCAGGAAACACAACCGCUGAGGGUGCCAUGUCGGUACCCUCACAUCAUGCGAGGGGCCUCCAGGACACCGACGCUGCGGCCCGCCACUGUCCUGACCUCAGGCCCCUGCAAGCAAGACCACCCCACGACCCCCGAGCCCUCCCGACCCCACCUGGGAGACUUCGUCACCGUUGCGAGGCCACUUGCGGGCAAUGAUCUGCGGAACGGGUUUCGCGGGCAGGGUAUCCCGCCAGACGGUCAGGCAGGCAGGCAGACAGGCAGCGUGGAGGUGGAGGGAGGGGCCAGGAAAGCUCAGGUGGCUGCCGGCCCGUUAGGGCAUGCAUCAUCGACGCGAGGCGAGACACACACACACACACACACAGAGCAACCCGGAGAUCUGAGUACGGCAGCGGCUCUCUCUCCCACGCGAGGUGCCAAGCCAGUACAACCCAGGCACCGGUUCCUUUAACACAUCCCCUCCCGCACCUUCCCUUCGAGCCAUACCACUCCCCUGGCCUCCCCCAGACCCAUCAUUCCGCCUUAUCCCUGCUCCCGCACCUCCACAUGGACCUGUCCAUCUCGGCUCCGUACCUAUCUCACGCCCUCACCUGGAUAGGUCGGCCGGUUCCUAUUCUGCUGGCCGUGUCCACUCACCCCCUCGGCCCGAGUGGAUUCUCCUCGACUAACCACCCCCCCACCUGACUGACAAAGGCCUGGCCCAGCAGCAGGAAGCGGCUAAGGGGCCUCCAUGCGCUGCCCUCAUCCAAACUGGCCGUCAGAGCGAGCAGCUGCUCCACACGCGACUGAGCUAACCGACCCGUGGGUCCACCCAGCUGCUCCUGAUGCAACAGCGCUGGAAAGCGGCGGGAAGAGGGUAGGGGUGAAGAUGUGGGGUAGAGCGGCAAUCGGGAUGUGUGGCAUGUAUUGCGGCGACAGUGGUUCAUUGCUUCUGGAAGUAGGCGAGGCCCCUAGACGGGACCGUGCACAGGAUGCCGUCUUAUGUAGGGCUCCUCACAGUUGGCUUGGGAGCUUAUGAAAUUGUAUAGGCAUGAGUUUUGGCGUGCUACCACUAGUUGUCUGCCUAGCAGUGUUCGGCGCAGGCCGACCCCCAUUUCCCGAUCAGGGCCACACUGCUACACGGCCCGAACUAGGCCGACCGCCUCCUGAACCAUCCGCCCACUCGCCCCGCACCCCACGCACAAGCACCCUCCCAACCACUCACCCUCCCGCCCCCGCACUUACCCUGCACAAAGGCCGCCGCGGUGCGGUGCAGGGGCAGGUGUGGAGAUACCUCAAGCUCCCCCGCCAUUAGCCCAUCGUACAGGUCACCGGCCACUGACAGCCGCCGGGGCGAGGGAGCGGAUCCAGACCCGGGCCCCGUGCCGCCACCUCCUCCUCCUCCGGCGGAUGCUGUGCCCGGUGCCGAUGGCAGCGCAGGUGCCGCACUAGCAGCACUGCGCGCCAGGCGGUCGCUGCACCACUCCUCACACGCCUCGAUAGCUUGUCUGCAGACCGAGCCCCCGGUGGGAGCAGGCGCCGCGAACGGGGGACCGGGGGAGGGGGGCGGGGGCCCCAAGGGAUACGUGUCAUGCAUAUGUAGGCCCCUGAGUGAAAGGGCUAACACCGCUGGGUUACCUCGGGUGCUAGGAUCAGCGGACAUGCGGCUCUAGCGGUUCUCAUCGAAGCGUCAGCAGCAGACUUGGAUGGAUGCGAAUAGGGGUAUGCGUGCGGCAGGAGGGUUGCAAACGUGCAAACUUGGGCGGAGGAUUCAACCCACAGUCCUGCACCCAGUCUUGCAAGCCAGGACCGCUCCCGUACCUGGCUGCUCCGUACAGCAGCUCCACUCGCCGUACACGUUCCUCCUCUGAUCCCCCCCCGCUACUGCUGCUGCCGGCUUCAACCCCUUCUGCCGCGCGGCCGCCAUGGCCACCACCACCGCUGUUGCGUGCCGCCGCCGCCGCCGCCGCCCCCCCCGGCCUCAAUCCCGCCAUGGUGGUGAGCAGUUCUGAGACACACGCCGUGACCACGAAUUCUGCUGAGCAGGCCAGAGGCACUCGGAAGGCGGCCCCGUCCUCAACAUCACCAGACGCCUUGCGGCGUUGAUGAAGCAUGGCCUGUGUGGAGGCGGGAGAGCUAGUUCACGGAUCUGCAUUACUUGCCCAUAUACAUGCAUUUUCGUGAUAUCAGCUGCGACCGGAGGACAGAAAACGACGGGGAAAGGAAGGGCUGGGCACGGGGCGACUUGCCAUAGGAACGCAUAAACACACACACACACACACACGGAAACCAAUGUGUUUCCCUGGUCCUGGCCAGACCACACACGGGUUGAGCUGGGAGUCGUUCCGACAGCUUCCAACCUUGCCACGGCGGCCAACACAAGGCGGGUCUGCUCCUUCGCUCGCCCUCCAUCCGCUAUCGCGGCCUUCACGCCCUUCGUCCUUGGCCGGUUUCCUUCCCCCAUCCCCUUUCGUCGGGGCCCCCGCCUGCCUCACCUGCAGUGGCCUCACGAACCUGCCCAGGAAGGCCUCCCCCCACAGCUCCCCACUGGACAGCAGGUAGUGGGCUGCGGGGACGUGGUAGACCAGGGUGGAGAAGUCCUGAAGGGGGGGGGGGCGGGAAAAAGUGGAAGAAGGGGGUGCGGAGUUGGGCAGUAAGAAGCGGAUUGGGGCUGGAAUCACGCGUCCAAAGACGGCCAUACGCAUAGGCAGGUCAGGAACGGAAAAUAGACAUGCGGCCCCUUACGCAACGAAAUCCAGGCAUUAUCCCCACGCGUACAGUAUAAGCACAUACGCACAUACGACCGGACCGAACCUUCCCCUGUUCUGCUGUGCAUGGCACUUCUCGCCAACGAGGACAGACGCACCUGCACGUACGCGUGUGCCUGUCUCCAAACUCCCCUGCAACUGCGCGCCACCCACACCCAUUUCCCCCCCCCCGCCCGCUUUCCCCCCCUCCACCCUCUUCCGCACCCACCGACGCCAGACGCCUCAUGGCAUCCAGCAUGGCACUUAGUCGCUGCUCCGACUCCGCCUCUGCCUCCCACUCCUCCCACUGGCCCCGGCUGCCCACCUCCCUGGCCGGGGCUGUCAGAGCGCCCCUGGCCAGCUCGUCCACAAAUGCCCCCGUCAAGUAGCCAAGCGCCGACAAGUGGAUCUCCAUCACCCGCUGCUCCGAAACCAGUCUAUAGAAAAUGCGGAGGAAGGAAUCAUAUGCAAGGGAGGGAUGGAAGGAGGGGGAGGGUGGCGCACUGUGGUUCAGGGAAUCACGCAACAUCAGGCAAGGCAAGAUUUUUGGUCCGUUACCGCUGAAUCCCCAUUCAACCCCUCUUACCCCUAAGUCUUCACUUUCACCGGGGACCAUUUCCAUGUCCUGGUAUUCCCUACCCCUCUGCCGGUGUAUCCUGCGGGGCUUGCUCUGGAGGCUGAACCUGCCGCACUCCUGCGUAUCCUGCCUGGACCCCACUCUGACCCCUAUCAACCAUUUCAGCUCUCCGUCCUCAGUCCUCCGUCCUCCCCGCCGCCCCAGCUUGGCCCCGUCUCCGGACUACGUUCCCGCCUACUUACCCCUCCAGGCCCCCUACCUGACCGUAACCUCCUCCGAGUUGAACACCUGCACCACCACCCGGUCCAGUACAUUACACAGCGGGUGACGACCUGCGGAGCCGCCACCACCACCGCCACCUGCAGAGCCCUGAGCCCCUGCGACACCUGAGGCUGUGAGCCCGCCGAUGGCGGACAGCAUGGGCACGUAGCACUCCAUGAGGUAUACGGCAGUGUCGUACUUGAAGCCCGGGUCGUACAGCAGCAGGAGCAGCAGUGAGGUGAGGUGGUGGAGGGGCUCCGGGUGCAUCCAGCGAAGAGCGAGAACCCAGCGGCGUAGCAGGCAGUCCUGCAUCAGGGUCAGAAGGAAUGACCGGGAGGGCGGGCAGAGUGUCAUGUCAGGGUGAGGCUGCAGUGGAGAACAGAAAGGAGAUAACCCCCACAGAGCGGGGGUAUCUGGGGGCUCAAAUCACGUCCAAAUGAAACCCGCAAACUAGAAGCCCACCUAAAAGCCCUCCCCGUAAUCCCCGCCCAAAGUCAAAUACUUGAGCUGCUAUUGCUGCAGCAGCACUUUCACUCCUGCUUGGAACCCCUGUCUACAUUACCGCCCCCGCUGGCCGCUUCACGCAUCCGCAGUGGGUUCCCUGAGGUUCUUCCGGUCACUCAGCUGUGUCACCCGUCAAGACGUGAGCACCCACCUGGACCGCAGCAGGCUCCGGGCUGGCGCCCUGCGGCACGGAUGAAUGAAGCGGGGGAGGCGGCGGCAGUCGAGCCAGGACCUCCUGAGCCUGAGCUGCAUACGCUUCCGUGACCGGCAACGACGGCGCCGCCUGUGUCAUGGACACCGGCGGUGCCGCGGGUGCGGAGGCGGCGGACGAGGCAGCCCCAUGGUCCGCAUAUGGCGCGGGGGCGGCAGAUGAGGGUGCAGCUGCUCCUGCUGACAUGCUCGGGGCGGCCGCCGUAGCAUCAGCGACAGCAUCGGCACCGGCAUCAGCGGCCCUUGUAGAUUCUUCUGACGGCGCGCCGCCCUGCGCAACUGCACCCAGCGCCCGUUGCAGCUCCCGUAGCCGCUGUAGCUGCUGCUCCUGCUGCUGCUGCAGCCUCUGCAGCCGCUCCAUCUGCCCCUGGAUGCGCUCCUGCACAACCAAGAACCGCUCCCCUUGCAGUUGCUGAGGCUGUGGCUGCUGCUCGCGCUGCAACCCAGCCAUUGCCCAUGGCUGCUCCUGCAGCUGCUGCUGCAGCUCCUGCAGCUGUUGCAGCUGUUGCCGCAACUCCUCCUGCUCCUGCCACACCACCUGCUGCUCUCGAAGCACCUCCGAAAACUCCUGUACCAGCUCCUGGUGCUCCUGUUGCUGUUGCUGUUGCCGCCCAGCCGGAUGGCCCUGGCCUUGCUGUAAUGACGGCGGCGGCGGCGGUGGUGAUGAUGGAAGCUGCUGUUGCAGCGGUGACGUCUGUCGCUGCUGCAGCGGCCGUCGCAGCAUGUUGCUCAUGGUUGGCCGCAGAGGCGUCAGGGCGGCGAAGCGCUGUAGCCAGCUGCACAGCGCCAGGGCAUCGCGGCGGUGGUCUGCGUCGCUGCGGGUCCCAGUGCACUGACCUGUGGGGGAUGCCACGCCCAGAUUGGAGGUUGGAGGGACAGGCUCUAAGAAGUUCUCAUGCACAUGGGGGACAGUCCUAACGCGCCUGCCAGCUGCAAGACCCUCCACAGGAGGCCGCCGACCGUCCAAACCCUUCAACCAACUCACCAAGGCACUCGGUCAGCCUUGCCAACGCGGCCUGCAGCACCGCCUCCAGCAGCGCACGGGGCUGUGGCCGCAGGAGCUGCUCCAGGGGGGCCACCCUGCGGCCCGGCUGGUGAGCUGGACAACAGCCUAGGAGGGGGGGGAGCGGAUGGACGAAGGGUGGGAAGCGGGGCGGUGAACAGUGUGACGACAGCACGCCAACAGCGGUUGACGCUGAUGGUGUUGAUCACCCCCGGGGGGUUUGUCCUCCACCAUUCCAAUGCUUAUGGGGCUAUCUCAAAGCAACGCAAUACAGUAGAGCGCACGACAGAGCAGCUCCGCAGCCCUCUUUCCUAAGCUCACACCGUUCUGCUGUGGCACUUGUUCACUGUGCCACGGUCCUUUCUGGCAACAAAACAGACGAACAUCCCCCAGCCCACAUCCCCUCCAAUCUGCACGCGCUCUCGGCCCCUUCCAUCCACCCACCCUCAAGCCGCCAAGAGGACAGGUCGCCACAAUCGCAGCAACCCCCUGACGCUGAGCGAUACUGUAUCCAGUCGUGGUCUUCAUGGCCCCCCGCUUUGAAGCAGGAUACGCAUACGGCACUGGAGGUUGUAAGCUGGCAGGUACGGCAUCUGAGACGUGGCAAAAGGGCCCCGCGACGACCGCGAUGACGAGGGGGCCCAAGGCACAUACCAGGGUCGUUAAGGGGAGAAUACCGAUUGCCGACGUCCUAAGCCAACGCCGAAAGUCACUAGGGGGACCAGGAGCAGGGGCAGACGCGUGACUAGGGGUUUUGCGGUUGGUCCGGGACAUGGCGCGGAGGUUCGAUGUUUAAGGCCACAAGCGGCAGCGGGAAGAAGCCGCCUUCCUCAAAUUUCGGCUGCCUGCAUGCCUAUCCCGCGUUCCUUGUCCUUAUCAUACUGAGCAUUAUGCGGCAGAUGGACACUUGUAUCGGUUGAAGUUGGAUGUGCUAAGCUAAAGUGAGGUGCUGCCGAAAGUGCGAUGAACACCAAAGCUUGGAUGGGUAGGAGAAGCUGCCAUUGGGAGGAUGGACGGCGACUGGAUUGAGGUGCGAUAAUCCUGGCGAGUGCAGCUCUGGCUAGACGGUGCUAUGGGGUGUUUCGGCCGAUGUGGUAAAAGCGGCACUCGGUGCCUGGUGCUGCCAUGAGCCGCGGUCGCACCUGUAGGCAAGGGCUCCAGCGGACCAGAUCGCCGUACAUUGGCCGGCGCAUUCUCGGGGUGCAAGGGCGGUAAGGUACGCGUCAAAAUCGCCUCUUUGAUUUGUAGAAUGACACAGGACACGCUCGCAUUCCUAAGCCGCACGGCCAAAGGGGAGGGCCAGCGGGCGCGAGGGUGGCAACUUGUCCAGGGUAGGACUUCAACGAAGCCGUACCGGCUAAGUAACCCAGGAAGGAAUGUGAUGGUACGGACAUAACAGAAAGGCUGCAGGUACACGCCGAAAUAGAGGACGUAAACACUCCCGCACGUGCACCCUAACACAGCAAAAUGUAAAUCCACGUUGCGGAAAGUGGACAAAAAGCAAGCCCCGGCAAAAAUCAAGGAUUAAGGCUUGUGAUAUAGUUAUAACACGUAAUGUUUGCCAAAUUCGCAAAUCCCUUGGCUAUCGUAAGAGAAACACAUCUGACAAAAUUGAAGAGUGUGAAAUGGAGCGGCUAAGACGUCCCAGAUCAGCACUUUAAGCAUACGCUCCACAAACCUUAAUCCAUGCGUCCAUCGUCUGAUAGCGAAAUCGUGUCACACUCACUCGUUGCCCAUGGUUCAAUGAACCGGUUCUGCCAAAUGAAUAGUCCUUACUCUAUAUCCCAUAAGCAGGAAUAGACAGUAUGGACGCAAAGGUUGAUGUAUUGCACGGAAACGCAGAAACUAGGAGUAAAACUGCAUCGGUGCCGUGCAUCGACUGUCCAACUGACUGCUCCGGAUUUACCCCUAGAAGUCGCAGUGCGAUCUACUGUUUUUCAUUAUCACGAAUAUGGUACUAAAUGGAUUUCUGGCUUUCUCCUUUCCUUGACAAUUGGACCAGCCCUAGGGUGACCGGUUGUAUGAUUGACACCAGCGCUGGCGUUUGACGCCUUAAAGGCCAGUUAAGUUACAACAUGUAUAUCACCGCUUGAUGUGAGGUAGCAUAGCAAUAAGCACCAAACAGUACAGGAGCAAAUGGCCACGCUGGUGGAGGUUGCCAAACACGGCAGCGCCCUGCACGUGGAUGCAGCCGUGCAGAAACUUGCUGGACAACUAAACAAGUAUGGUCCCGUGUGGGAAUGAGCGGCGGCCUGGCACUGGCCCACGGGCCUUCCAGAGCCAAUGGCCGCUGGGAGACGUUGCGUUCCAGGGCCGCUGCCACAAGGCCAAGGCCGGUUCGUGACGCGCAUCGCCCCUGAUCCUUCUUUCCGUUUGCGCGCAGACCCAGCAACAGUGAGGUCUACCCGCUGCAUGUAGCUGUAUGGCGCAACCACCUGACCAUCAUUGAGCGCCUGCUGGAAGCCGGCGCCUGGACGCACUGCACGGAUGGCGAGAGCGGCUGGUGCGGUUAAUAUUGACAUGGGGAUGAAGCGAUUCACAUGAAAUAACUCUUAAGAGCUAUACCCGUUGCUCGGAGGUGUGGGUUAGUCAACCGCACCGUAAGCGGCUGCUUGUCCCAGUACCCCGAAGCAGCUCAUUCUCGCGGGGAACCCCUCCCCACCUUGGCGACAUCACACCCGCUAUCGCACGGUGCUGGCGAUCGUGGUUCUCCUCCGUUGUUAGCAGCAAGAGGAGCCGUACGCACAUUGCGUCCUGCCAGCCGUACUCACAAUGCGUGGUUUUAUGGUCCCAGGCCGUACUACGGUCCCUAUCUGAGUCCACCUCCCACAAGUGCGGCCAACGGGCUCCGCUUGAGCCGCCUCCCUCCCUUUGGGGGCCCAUGCCUUAGUUCCUAGAGGCACAAAGGCCGCCAUGUCCCCUUAUCCACAUGCUCCCUGGCCACUGGCCCCCCUACGUGUUCCGCCCAGGACGCCCUUACAUCGCGCCCUGUACCUGGGUCACCUGGCGGCGGCCGCCAAACUGCUGCAGGCGGGUGCUGGGGGCCGUCAGGGCGGGUGGCGGGGAGUCGUGUUCCGGGGUGGGGGGCCUGUGCCUCGGGGUAGGGGGUGGAAGUGAAGAACGAAACAGCGCACUUGCGAAGGACCCAGUAGCAGUGGAAGGGGUUUUAUGAGGACGUGGUUCCGAGAGAGGUGCGGGGCGGGACGAGCACUAUCCAGGUCACCAGGGCUGAGUUCCAGGGAGCAUGAUGGCCUCGCUGUCAGCUCGUGCGGGUCCAGCAGCUUGGUAGGCUUCCCGCGAGGCGGGUUUGGGGACGCAUUUCCCAGCUGGACUGAGGCCGGGCCGGGCUGGGCUGGGGGUGCGACUAAAAGAACAACAUGGUGGUAUGCUGUCUGUAAGCAUACCGCGUAUUUGUUGCCGGAAAAGACGAGACAAAAACACUAGGGGUGAAGAGAGAGCGCUAGGGGAGUAGCCGCCAGUCGCAAAGCAGCACAGCGGUACCUUCACGUCGGCCGUACCGUGCAGGUAAACCCCAAUACCCCCCUCUUUCCCAGCAGUUGGAAAACAAGGAUGCUUUGGGCGGGAGGAUCCUUUGCUUCUUGUGCGACUUCCCUCUUUCCCGGCUCUGCUCAGUGCGCCCCGUACAUAGCUGACGCCGUCCUCGCGCUGUGUCUCCCGCUCCUCCCUGGUUGCUUUGCUCUGCUGCUGUUGUCGAACCCUGCUGCUGCUGCUGUUGCUGCUUCUUCAGGCGGGGGCCUCCGUGGAAGCGACUGACUUGCAGGUGGGGUCCUGUGGGUGGGUGAGUGGUUGGGCGGGGCCGAAGGUGCGCUGUUCCACUCCCGGAGCCCGGAGAUGACACAGCUGCUACCUAGCAACCUUUGCGUUGGGUCUUACCUCCAUCCUUAUCCCAAUCCCAAGCACUGAUCCGUCCGAUCUGUGAGGUACAACCCCUCGGCAAGUCCAACAGUCGAGGCCUGGAUUGAUUGUUCUCGGCGAUAGCGUGUAUUGGAUACACGCGCGGAACAGCUGGAAAUGUCUUGCUGGUGUCGCGCAGCUGCAGCGCCUCGGGGGGGGUAGCCACUGACCAGCCCGGUGCAAUGCACGUACGGUGGUAUUGCUCAGGUGCCCCCCCCUGGUCGCUCGCAACCUCCCACCAGUGCCUCCGUUUACCCUUUACAUGGGCCCCCUCCUCACGUUCCCCGACCCCCCCCGGCUCAGGGCCGCACCCCUGUGGACCUGGUGUCCUCAGAGCUCCGUAGGAUGCCCUCCGAGGGAGCUGGUCGCUGCAGUGCCAUUUACAGCUGGGGCAGUGGCGCCAACUACCAGCUGGGAACGGGUGAAAAGGGGGGGGUCGCAGAGGUCCUAACUGUCGUGGGGGAAAGCGCAGGAGGUGAAGCAGUCGUUUUGCUGGCAGGACGUGCUGUGAAGUCCACGGCAUCUUGUUACUAAUUUACACACAUGUUCUCGAUCUCCCUCCCUUCCUCUCCCGCUCCCUCCCCCGCUGCAGGUUCCACCGACUUCCACCUCAACCCGUUGCGGGUGGAGGCACUGCAGGUUGGUUUUGAAGGUUGCGGGGUUCGGGCCACCGGGAAGCCAAUCCUACAGACAAGGACGCGGGGAAAGGUCCCGGAAGGGAGCACCCCUCCACCCGCCCCACGCCUGUCGCAUCCCGCACCCACCACCCCCACCCACAGGGUCUGGGUGUGGUGGCCGUAGUAGCUGCCAAGUUCCACAGCGCCGCGCUCACUGCUGACGGGCGGCUGCUGACCUGGGGCUGGGGCCGCGGCGGCCGACUGGGCCAUCCCGACUACAACAUCCACAGCGGCGAGUCGGCUCUAAUUCACCCCUGGCAGGUGGCGGGUCUGGGUCGGCGGGUGGUGGUGGCGAUGGCGGCGGGCAAGCACCACAUGCUGGUGGCCACGAGUGCUGGCGAUGUGUGGAGCUGGGGGGGAAACCGGGAUGGGAAGGUGAGGGGGGCGAGGGGGGGCAGGACGGAGGGAGGGACAUGAGGGAAGGGAGGGGUGAGGGGAGGGUAAGGGAAACGGGGCCUUCGCAGGUCCGCCCAUUAAUGUCUUCCUAACCGUCCUUCCCCCAUUUCUGCUCUAUGCAUCCAUUCCUAUCCAUUCCUCCCGCCCUCCCCCAUUCGUGUGUGGUUCAAUCGUGUGUGGCUCGUCUUUCCCCCAUUCGUCUCCCCCGCCUGCCGGCCCCCUUUGGACCCCCCCUUCUCCUCCUCCAGUUGGGCUACCCCAACGUGGACACGCAGCCCACACCAAGAAAGUGAGUCCGACAAGCACAAGGGGGUCAGGGGCUGGGGGUUGGGGAUUGGGGAGCAGUUGGUGACAGCAGCAAGGGGGGAGGGAAAGGAGGGGCUGGAAGGAGCGAAAACGGGGGAGGGUGGGUGGGGCAGUUGCACAAGGUGUAUAUUUAGGUUCGGUGGGGGGUGAGCAGGGCUCAAGAUAAUUGUUGGGUGGAGGGGAGUGAUAGGAGCCGCCAUCGGGACCUCCUCCGCGCGCGGAAACCCCUCUCUCGUGUGUCGUGCCCCCCUUCACCGCCAUCACCCAAUCGGUAUCCCCUGCCCCAACCAAACGCUUCUCCGAACGUGGACUCCCUCACGUGGCAGGAUUGACUUCAAGGGUCGGGCGGUGCUGGUGGCUGCUUCCAACCGCCACAGCGCGUGUCUCACCAGUGCGGGGGAGGUGUGGACGUGGGGAGCGAACAACGACGGGUGGGUGCUGGGGGUGCUGGGGGGCUGGGUAAACCAUAUGCAAGAAAUCCACCCACCGAACCCCCCACCCCUACCGCACUGCUGGCUAAACCCCCUGGCGCAGGCAACUGGGCUACGGCACCAACAACUCCGCCAACAACCCGACACCCCGUGUGGUCGAGGCCAUGAAGGUGGGGAAGCCCCAGAGCGGAGGAGCGGUGUGGAAGUGAAGGGGCCGGGAAGGGAGGGGAGGGAGAGACUCGAGGGAGCAUGGUGUGUGUGUGUGUGCUGCUGUUGGGAAAUGGUGGUGCAAACCUUGGCCCUAGACGGACGAUGGAUGCUACCUGAAGCUAGACCGAGGAAUGCCCCGAUGUGCCCGCACACAGCCCAUCCGUGCUGGUGCACAUCACCAUGGCGGUGUGGCAUAGCUAGUACGGAGCAUCGACCUGGUCUCGUCCGCACGUGACCCCGGGAGCUCCUCCGUUUCUCCCCGCGCCGUGUGUUCCAGGGCAAGGUGCUGGUGGGGCUGUCCCUGUCCAAGCGCCACACCGUGGUGGUGUCCGCAGAGGGGGAUGUCUUCACGUGGGGCCACCGAGUGGUCACCCCGCGCAGAGUGCAGCUGGCGGGCUGCAGGGAUACCGCGAGGCUGGCGGCAGUGCAGCUGCAACAGCUGCAACAGGCCGGCGGAGGCGGACCUGGGCCGCCUGUGGCAGCAUCGGCGGCGGCGCCUGCGGCUCCGCUGCCGUUGCCGGCGCUGCCUGCGGCUGCUGCUGCCGCGGCCGCCGCCGCUCCCUGCGGUGGCGGUGGCCUUGAAGUUCGUUUCCACCGCAAUCACAAUGAGGUGGUUCGGCCUGAGGCCGCGCUGGCUGCUGCGGGUUACUCGCACACAACGGUGGUGACCCGCAGCGGGGAGGUGCUGUGCUGGCGCAGUGCAGAUCCGGCUCUGCGGCCGCAGGAGGUGGCGGGGCCGCUGGCAGGCAAGUGUGUGGUGGCGGCGGCGGCGGGCAAGACGCGCACAGUGGUCGUCACGGACACGGGGCAGGUGUAUAUGUGGGAGUGCAAGGAACCCCAGCACCAGCAGCAGCGCGCGACACCAGGCGGCGGCGGGGCCGCGGGCGCCGGGGCAGGCGGGGGUUUUGGCUCUGCGGGUGCAGGGGCCAAGGGCACGGAGGCUGCGGCGGCACCUGGAACAGGAGGCAGCGGGACUGGAGCUGCCAGUGGGGCGGCGGCGGCAGCAGUGGCGGCGGCGGGAGGUGGUGGCGGCGGUUCCGGAGCCGGGGCGGUGACGGGCCAGAGCGGGGCCGGUAUGGGCACGGGGGAGGAGGCACAGAUCGUGCCGGUGCGCGUUACAGGGCUGACGCGGGUGACCCAGGUGGCUGUGGGGGAGAAGCACACGCUGGCCCUGCAGGCCUGGUCGGUGCCCCCCAUUCCCGACGAGCACGGCGUCAUGCCGGGGAUGCAGCGGCACCGUCGCCAGCGGCGCAGCGGUGCCAGCGGCAGCGGAGGCGAUGGUUCGAGCAGCUCCGGCUCGGAUGAUGAAGUAUGCGGUGGCGGUGGUGGUGGCCGCUGGUGGAGGUCGGGGGGGAACUCCUUCCGUGCGGGCGGAGCAGCCGCCGCCGCCGCGGUCCCGGUCGGGUCGCUGACGCGGGGCGGUUCGGGCUUGGGGUCUUCCGUCGGGACGGGCUUCACGCCGCCGCCGGGUUCUAGUCCAAUGGCCCGAUCAUUCGGUACCAGCUUAGACCUGGUCCCUAGUCCCUUAGCAGCAGACCGUGCCGCGGCCGCGGCGGUAGCGGCAGCGGGAGGAAAUCUUACGGGUUUCUUUGCCGUGGGCCCCCGACGGCGGGGUGAUGCGGCCGCCGCACUGGCAGCGAUUGAUGAGCCGGGGCCCCCCGGCUGGGAGCUCUUCAGUCACAGAACCGGGGGGGAGCCAGGUGCAGGUGCGCCGUCGUCACCUUUGGCAGGUGCGCGGCGGAGAAGCGCUGGAGGCGGCGGCGGCUUCCCCUACGACGGCGACGACAUGUUUGGCUUCAACGACGGCGACAGCGUCCCUGGCGCGCGUCGCACUCGCGGCGGCGGUGGUGGUGGUGGUGGUGGUGGUGGUUCGGUGCCGUCGCUACAGGUGCUGUGCCAACGCUUGGUGGCGACGCAGCUCGUGGAGCCGCGUACGGCACUGCCCAUCUUGGAGUAUGCGGAUGUAGCCGGCGCGGCGCUACUGCGGUGCUACUGCCUAGCCGUGGCUGUAGCCAAUUUGGACUGUACGUUGCUGGAGGCGCCCGGCGGCCUCAUCAGCCUUCCUUCGCAUCUAUUGGCGGAGCUGGAGCACCUCUAUCGCGCCGUGCUGCUGGCGCCGGCGCCGACAUCGCACCCGCAAGGCUCAUUGCCGGCGUUAGGCAGCGGCGGCGGCGGCGGCUCAGCGGAGGAUAUCCUAGGAACCAGCCCACCUAUUAUCAAUACUGCACUGUACGGCUCAUCCUUAAGCACCAGCGGCGGCGGUGUUGGCAGUAGCAGCGGUGGGGGCGGCGGCGGUGGCGGCGGCUUCGAAUCGCAACUCACGGCGCUGGAAGCGUUCCACCGACGGCGCGCCCUAAUAUCCAGGCUGCAGAUGGGCCGACGGCCGACGGCGGCGCCGGCCUGGCUAGAAGGCGCCUCCGCGACAGACCGCAUGACGCCGCAGGCCAGCAGCCGCUUGGGGGCUGCGGCGUUGGCAGCGUUGGCCGUUGUCGGACACGGCGCUGCGCCGCAUGGUUGCGCCGAGCGGAGUGCGCCGCCCCGCAGUGGCAACGGCGGCGCAAACCUAGCGGCUGGCGCCGCCAGCGAUUCCGGUGGCGGCGGCGGCGAGGCAGUAAGCGAGGUGCAGCGGCUGGCCCGCAACCUGCAGCGCAAGCUGCAGCAGAUCUCAAGCCUGGAGGAGCUGCAGCGUGGGGGACGGCAGCUGGAUGCGCAGCAGCACGCUAAGCUGAGCCAGCGGGGCGCUCUGCAGGAAGCGCUGAUGGUGAGAGAGCGGGGCGGGGUUGGGGCGUAGGUGGAGUGCAGUGGAGGCGGAAAAGCAACAGCAACGGUCUGGUAGGAUCGGGAUUGGGGUUCCAAGUUCUCGCUGCUAUUUCGAGAAGGCGGCAGCAGCAUGAGUCUCAGUGCCCGUCAUGCCUAGAAGCUGGGGUGGGCCAGGGGACUUGGAAAAACAUCCAGCUUCGCCGCGUCACUUAUCACUUACUGGAAGCAGCGAAAGGUGGAAAAGCAGGCGGCCGGGGGGUUGAUGGUGGUCCAUGUUGGUGAUGGGGAGGUGCCGCCAUUCACACCUGCCGCCAACUUGAAGGCCCCUAUCCCGCCCCGUCCUGCCUCGGACCUGCAGGCCUUGGCUGCGGGAGCUGCUGUGGAGUCGGUGAAGCAGGCCAUGGCGCACAGCGCCGAGGUGGCAAGCAAGCUGGCAGCAAGGCCGGACGCGGUGCAAGCGGCGACGGCGUCUGCGUCGGGAAGCGGUGGCGACGGCAGAGCCGGCGGCGGCUGGGCCCGUAGCUCAGGGGGGAAUGCUAGUGGGGCUGGUACGGCGCCGCUGUCGUCGCAGCCUGGUCAGCAGCAGCCGGGAGGCAGCAGCGGCGGACCCGGGCGGAAGCGAAGUACGAAAGAAGCUGGCGGCGGCGGCGGCGGCGAUGGGUCAUCGGAGCCCCUCACAGUAACACCGACAGCGGUGGCGGCGGCGACGGCUACAACAGCUUCGGUCACUGACAGCACGGUCAACUCCACCACGUUUUCGCCCGCAACCACCGCCGCUGGCGCUAGCAGGGUGACCACCACCACCACCAUUUCCAGCAGCAGCAGUCUUGGUAACGCCCCAACCACACCGGCAACAGCGGUGAUGACGGCGGUCGUAAGUGGCACGGGGCCCGCCAGGAAACAGCAGCAGCGCCGCGGCGCGCUGUCCGUGUUCCUGUCGGGAGCUCUCGACCAGCCGCUGAGUCCGCCACCGGCCGCGUCGCCGCCGCCGCCGGUCGCUGCCGCCGCUGCACCCAAGGCGCCAGCCUGGGGUGGCGCGAAGCUGCCGGCCACACCGCCGGGUGGCAGCAGCCUGCGGGACCUGCUCUCACAGCAACCCACUUCUUCGGCUGCCACGGUAGGGCCGCUGCAGCAGCAACCACAGCAGCAGCAGACGGCAGCAGCGGCAUCGUCACAGGCGGCGCCGUCUCGCAGCUCGGCUGGACUGGGACUGGCGGCCACGCCGGGUGCGUCCAGCUUGCCCGCGCGCACACCAUCAGGACCCCUGCCCCUUCCCGUCGCAGCAACGACAGGCGCGUCCGCUUCGAGCUUCCCCAUCGCCACGGCCGCCGGUGCUGCGCCAGGCGGGCGCAAGCCGACGUCCUCUCCUUUCACCACCGCGGUGCCGAAGGCAGCCGCCUCCAGCCCCGCCAUCGCUUCUCCGGGCCCCGCGGCGGCGGCCGUGAAGGCUUCACCAAUUGCGGCAUCUGCCGGUGGUGGCGGCGGCGGUGGUGGCGGCGGUGGCGUUAAGCUCACGUUAGCGGAGUUCAUGUCCGGCAGGCCCAUAACCGCGCCGUUGCAGGUGGCGAGUCUGCGAGGUCGAGACCAGGAGGGGGAGAAGGAGCCGGCGGGUCCCGCGUGGGGCGGUGUGCAGGGCGGCAGUCCCGUGGGUGCCAAGUCGCUGCUGGAUAUUCAAGUACGUGAGGGGGCUUUUCGUGCCGCCGUGGCGCUGUUCCGGUACCACAUUUCCCGGCCACGUGCAUGCUUUGACUUUCUGCCAGGGUCACAUGGCUUGACGGACAUGUCCAUGAUAGGUUGCUAGCCGGGUCACUGUGACGUCAUGCCCUGAUUUCGGCCUGGGAGCGGAGAGCGCUAUGGACCGAAUGGCCUGAGUGCGGCGGCCUCUGACCCGACGAUGACCCUGAAUUGGUUGUUGGGCGGUGCAUGCACUGCAUAAAUUGGCGACGCUGCCAUAGCGGCAGCGCGCUAUUUUUUCGCACUGUGGACCAAUCUCCAUCCCCAUUCCUGCAAUCGUGCGUCAGACCCUCCUGCGGCGCUGUGUGCCUGACUGCCUUCGGAUGGUCCGGUCCGGUCCUCCGCGCAGACGUGAGAGCGUUCGGUUUUCACAACCCCAGCGACAAACGCAUCCCGUUCCCGUGAAGGCUGCCGUACUCUCCCGGACGUGUUGUCCUGACCUGGCUAUCCUGGUUAACAGCAUCACAUGAUGUCAGACGCCGUCGCAAAGGCCGUCGUGCAUCCGGCCCCGCCGCCGCCCUCCCUUACAGGCUGAGCAGGCCCUGGUGCAGAAGCGAGCCGCAGCCAGCUGGGCCAGGCAGGGGGUGCCCGGCGGCCCGGGGGGAGGGCUGGGGCCCGGCGGCGCCUCCGCCACGCCUAACGCAGUUCCCGGGGGACCCGCGGCAAUUGGAGCAGUGGCAGCAGUUCCUGCGGGCACAUCUCCCCCAGUGGGGCGCUCCCUGCUAGUGGGCUUGACGCAGGCCGGCGCUCCACCUCUGCAGCAGCAGCAGCCCAGCAAAUGGUACGUGCCGGAGCAAUGUCAACCGGCAGUAGCGGCCAAGCCGCUAACCGCGAUUCAGACCGAGGAGCGGGCGAUUAAGGAGAUCACUGCACGCUACGGCGGGCGUGUAGUUGCGCGAGUAGUGCCGUACAACGCCGUGGAAGCGCCCACGCCGUCUGCAAGCUCCCUGGCAGCCAGCGCUGGGACAGGCGCGGGCUGCGGUGUGGCGGGGGAAACAGCCUCAGGCAGGUUGUCCAUGCCAGCUGCUAGCGGCCAUGCUGGAAGCGCCCUUGCCGCAGCAGCCAGGUCCAAGCAGAAAGCUGCCAAGGGGAAUACGUCGUAAGCUGUCAGCAUAUUCGUGUUCCAAAUUAGGGCGGUAGAAUUUACCAACUGGUACAGAAAUGCUGUAUGCUGCUGUCGUCGCGAUUGGUGCUUCCUGGUCUGCGUGACUCCCCUGGCAUGCGACCGGUGCAGCGGUUGGUCCGUUGCCAUUGCCUGUUCAGCUGUCGGGUGCCUGUGUUUUAUGCGUUGACUCUCGCGCGCAUGAUGCGCGCGUGCUGGCUGGCCAGGAGGGUUACUGAGUGCGCUCAAGCGGGCGUUUUGCUUCACUGAGAGCAGGGGGGUUGAGUGUGGAGUGUGUAUGCAAGGUGGGGAUAUUGACUCUGAUGGCGGCAGACCACCGCUCCGGAGACACUCAUGCUUCUACGUGCACUCCCCGGGAAGGGAUGCUGCUAGCAGCUAGGCCAUGCUGGCUUCCCCUGCAUGAUUUCUGAAUGUGCCGAAGCUGUCUUUGUAGGAAGGAGCCGCAUUGUUGGACAACAAAACUUUACAGGAGCGUAACCAAUACACCAGAUAGAUACGCAGGAAGUGUAAACUUCAACUUACCGCCCCGCCCCGGACCUGACUUAAUUGAAUCCGUCCAGCAAGAUGCCAGAAUCCGACCUCGAGGUUUCAUGAGCCACCAAGUAAAUCAUUUGUGCUUCAGCAUAACACAGAAAGCGCACAUGCUGUGCGGUCAUGUGCGGUCACCGUACGUCUUUAUGCUGCUCCACCAUUCUUCCAUUCACCUGUACUACUCCUUUGGACACGCGCUUGCUGCCCCAUGUCACGCCGGAGGCGAGAGUCGACGUACAUGCCUACUGCCGUACCAUUAAACGCGUCCCACUGUAACUCUCCUAACAGUCCUGCAGGAUUCCACAUCAUGGUUUGCUAACCCGCUGUCCAAGCUGUGUUGUGUUUGCUAAACCAUGCAGCCUAACCGGCCCCGGGGGACCGGUUAGGGUCCCGCUGGGUGAUCUACGCACAAUACACGACUGCUCUAAAUCCCGCAAGCUCCGCCAUGACCUUCCCACCUAAUUAAAUGACACAUCAAUUUACAUCGCACCACACUGGUCUACAAUGCAGGCCAGCCCAAUACCCCAUCUUUACUCUUAUUGCAGACUCUUCGAUCCUCUGUCACAUUUCGUUGCAAAGUGCAUUCCGUUAUCUCAUAAUCAAGUGCAGGUACAAGUUGUGAACUAGGCCCCGUAGCUCCCUACACGCCAUAGGGACCACCCUACCAAAGUGUUACACCAGAACGCGUAUCAUGCAAGAUGCAGUUGCUCUUGGCGGGACCUGCCACUGCGAAAACCGGUGACAGGUUGACACGUCGCCAAUGCCCGCCAAAAGUUUACGUGUACCGCACACUGUAACAAGGGAUGCUAAUGGAGAGAAGCGACCCACCAUGACCAAAAGCAGCCCCCACUAGUGUGGGGCGCCUCCUGAGUAGGACCUGAAGAUGUUGAGAGGUGACAUGUACUUCCGAGUGAGGAGGUCAAGUGCGAUAGUCACUCCUGUUGUCCCAAAGGCGCCACACCCCGUCAAGACAAUAUCUCCCCGUCUGUGGUAGAGCGGCGGGGCAGAUGCGCCGCCUGGCGAUGAAAGUUGCGGACACAUUGCUGCGUGCUGCUGCUGCUGUUGAAGGGGUGAAACUUGGACUGCCGCUAGCGCGGAAGGCUGAUGACGGUCUUGUCCUGGCUGUGGUGGAGCCUGUGGGCCCGGCUGUACCUGGAAGCUGCCGGGGCGGGGAGCUGUCUCCUCUCUCGCUGCUGCCAAGCCGUGUAACGGCACGCGUGGGGCCUGCGGGCAGGUGUGGCAAGCAGCGCGAGUCGGCGAUGGCUCGCGUGUCUUCAGCACAGAUUCUCGACCAUCCUUUCCAGCUGUCGAACGAACUCAGCGUGGAAGCAGAGAGGCGCGCAGAACCCACACCCAGAGGAUGAGCCCAGAGGAGGCCGCAGCAGUGACGCCGCCUGCGUACGGAAUUCUCUCAUAAUCAAUGUCAUCGCAGUGCGAGCCAGAGACUAACCAAUGCAAUUCAUGUUAGCCCGUGGAGCUAGACUAACGAGGCAGCUAGAAGCCAUACAGCCAGGCGCGCGUAGACCCAUUGGUUCGGGGGCCGCCCUGCCCCGCCGCCUCGCCUGAACAUGCCGAGCCGUCUGGGUAGCCGGGCGUGCUAUCGCAGCUGCCACCUCACGCAAACCCCCGCUGCUGCUAUCGCUACUGCCGAUUCGCUGUGAGGCCUGCAGGGCGUGCUCGGGGGACAUAGUUCAGGACAUAAAAGCUGCGGACUUCGUGUAGACCGCAGCUCCCUUGAGACGAGGCCGCAAGUCCAGCAACAGGCGGGACCCUCAAACGCCAUGAAUGCAGCGCCAAUAACGCGCAUUGGCCUGCAAUGUGCUGAAGCGAAUAGGGUUAUGCCCGGAUGCUCGUGGUAGGCCCCACACCGUGACUGUUGCCUCAUCAUGGCCAGGGAACGUGCGCCGUGGUCAUGGCAUGCCUUUGUCGGUACUUGGACAUAUUGUGAGACACGCGGGACAGGCCGGUCUCGUACCUGCUGUUCCUGCCUAGGCGUUGCAGCGGCGAUGGCGGCCCCCGGGCUGCCUCCACUCGGCCGCCUCGCUGGCAGCACCUGCGGCGCAGACUGCACGCGCACAGGUGGCUCGACCGGGGCGACAGCGGCAGGAUUGGGCGCGGUAAAAGCAGGAGCAGCGGAUGCGGGCGCAGGAUUACCGGCAAGAGGACCUGCUGCAACAGCAGGCAAGCGACCGCGUGGCUGCACUAUGGGCGCUGGCACGACCGCAGACAAGGAUGGGGACACACGCUUCGGGCCCCUAAUCACACCCUUGCUUGGUUGUGGCGACGGGGUGCCUAGCUGUGCGCGCAUGGUUGCAACCCGCCGCCCCGCUAUCGGAGCAGCUGACAAUUUGAAGCUCAGUCCCGUAAAGGGAGGCCCCUCACUCGUCACCCCGACACUUUGGCCGCUAUCACCCUCGCCGCCGUCACCCCAACCGGCAGUGCCACCGCCGCCGCUAUGGGUCGCUGCCGCAACCGUGCUGUGGCCGGCGCCUCCGACAACGUUGCUGCGGGCCUCUCCGCUACCCUCGCCCAGUCCUGGUGGUGCCUCAGGAGCGCCGGCAUGCUCCCAAGGCAUCCACACGCUUGUCCGCUGCUGGACGCUGGGACCAGGUCCACCACCCCGACCAUCACCGGUGGUCCUCCCAUCAGCACUGCCGCCGCAUGUCAGAGCGGGAAGAUGACGCGCCGGCCCGGACAACAUCGCUUGGCCGAUCCCCCGUGCAGCGUCCUCAUAUGUGACUGUUGAAACGGCAGCUAUAGAGGUCGCCGGCGUGAGGGGGUCCAGGCGCAGAGACGAGGUGCGACGAGGACAAGUCCGUCGAUGGUGGAGUAGCAGGGACAGGAGGUAGGGAAGGGAGGAAACGGGGGCCCCAAGGGGGAACAAGCGGCAAACGGCACGCACGCUAGGCCGAACGGCCGACGCGGAAAGUCUCGGCCGGACCGCAAAAGCAUCGUCUUAACAACCCGACUCAUCCCGGGAAAUCGAAAUAGUUCAUCGACUAGUUGCAUGUGUACGCACGCGGGAUCAGUGAAGAUCAGUGGAAGUGCUACAAAUGAAACGAAACAUCUAGGGGCCCGUGCAAAGGCACGGGAGCAGGUAUACUUGCAGGUACACCUGCCCUCGAGGUUAGACGGUGUGAUGCACCUCCAGCGGAAGAUACAAAUACAUGCGCAUAGAUUGGAGCCUACGCAUUCACUCGGGAAAUCAAUCUGGCGACAUUUAACCCUACCUUGAUCCUCCAUGCCCGUCGUUAAGAGGAACGCCUGGUUGACCCGAGGGUCCCCUCCAGAACGCCAAGCAUCAGCAGCUCCGUCACGUGGGCCCGCGGUAUCACAGUCAUGCGCUGCUUGCGGCAUGCCCACCUGCUGCUGCUGAACCCCAGCAUGUUGCCUCGAGUGCUGUUGCGGGCCGUCCACACCUGUGAAACCCACGCCGGCACUUGCAGACCCUGCGAGCCCCCCGACCAGGUCGGAACCAGGCUGACGCUCGCCAACUUGCGGGGCUGCCGCCGGUGCCAUCCUAACGGCCGGUCCGUUAGCUGAUAUACAUGUUGCUCCUAAGGGCAAUGAAGCGCCUGGUGGUGGACUCCUCGUGCCAGCUGCAAUUAACCAAGGCUGUUGGGCCAAGGGGGCACUCAAGCCUCCGCCAUGGCUCUCCAGCCGGAGUGCGGCGGUGGCAAGGUCUCGAUGAGCCAGGGCCCUUGGAACCGCCGCGUCGUGCUGCUGCACUGCCGCCGCAGGGUCUCCGUUUGGAUGUCGUUCAACUGGUGCCGAGUUCCGAGCUGCGGUGGAUAUAUCCGAGCCGGCCAGCAGCGGCCCUCUCUCUGCCGCAAGCCCAGGUCCAGUGUUCGCGGCCCGCUCGCCCUCUACUCGGGACGCAGGCUCCGAGCCAAGCUCCCGUUCUGGUGCCCGGGGCUGGACGGGCUCCCGCUCUCGCUGAUCCGGGUGUCUGGACUGCUUGUCAGGAACAUGAAACUGACUAUUGGGGCAUGUCUCCUCCCCACCUGGACACUGACCGGAUCUCAGGUGCAGCUGUGCAGGGUCCGGGGCGCCUCGGGCCUCCGCCGGAGCAUCGCCAUGCCGCGCUCCGUUCGGCUGUCUGUCUCCUGCUCCAUUCUCCAGGGCGGCGGUUUGCAUCUCAGCAGGAGGCGUAGCUAGGAAUCGCCCACCGCGGACAUCCUGCAAUGCCAUUGGUCGUGGCGCGGCCAGCUGUACAUUCACUGACUGCCCAGGGGCAGGCGUAAGAAGCGGGACUUCUUGCCCUGAGGCGCUUUGCUGCUUUGGGCCCUGAUGUCCUCCCGUCUGCUGUUCUUGUCGUUGCGAUAGUUGCUGCUGUGAUAAUUGCGUGAACGGGUGGAAGGUCGCGUGGCCACGCAUGACUGGGUGCGGGUGAAGCGCGGGAAGUGCAAUUUCUGGACGAAAAGGAGGACCAAUCUGUGGUGCGUCCGACCUGCCGGGUGGGCCAUCUGCUAAGACUGCAGCUGCCGCCGACCUGCCGUGCUGUGCUUGUGUCAAGGACAACAUACGCAACCGGUUGUGGGCAAGGCACACCUCCGUCCACUCGGCUUCCAGGUCCACAGCAAUUUCCUGCGCAUGACAAUGCGUAGCGCGUUAUAGGAGGAAAGCUCUGUAUGCACGCCCCGCUUCAGGCAGCCUGCCUGCGUCGCUCCAUUCUCAUGUGUUGCAAUAACGAAACGAUUACUGUCUUAGGGUCGCUGACACACCUGCAGCAUUUGCCACUUCAGCAGGAUAAGCUCCUUCCUGGCCAAUACGUCGACCUCCACCAGCGACACAGGCGGCUGCAUAGCACCCAGGAACACCCCAGGCUGCGAAGGCCGACACUGCAUCCCAGGUGGCGGCCCCGGCAGGAACGCGCUGGGAAAAGAUCCACCAGGCAGCGGGCGGGGUCCCAGUGCAUGCGAUAGCUGUGGAUACGGAAACUGAGACGCUGUCGCCGAGGGCAACAUGCCGGACGGGGCACCAGGGUGGACGGGCUGCACGGCAGAUCCCAAAGUGUGCGGCGCGGACACCGGCAUCGGCAGGGGUGGCAGCACGUUGGCGGCCGGGGUGGCGGUGCCGGCUGUGGCAGCGGGUGGCCGCCGCAAGGCAUCGGCAGCCGGCGUGCUCGCGCGUGGCGCCGAUGUGCCCGUAGCUGCGCCCACGCCCAUGAUUCCCGCGGCAUUCGGAACCCCAGAGGUCGCAAACGCGUCCUGUGGCCUAUCAAAUGUUCGCUGCUGCUGCUGUCGCUGAUCCAGCUGUCGCUGCAGCUGCUGCGCAGCCCCAGCCGGAAUCCCAGGGUCUGUCGAGAGGGUUAAGUUGCCGCUGUGUGGUUGCACCCAGCGGGGCAUGUGUGCAGCGGCGCUGGUCUGCAGCCCAGGGGGCCAGCCACCUGACGCCAUUGCCGCCCUACUGGGGCCUGCAGCCCCGGGUAGCAAGCCCUGGGCACCUUGCCUCGGCGGACUGCCUCGCAGCCCGAUCCCCAGUGUCUGCGGGGCUACAGGAGAUGAGACCGCGCCCAACGACCCUUGGAUCUCAGUCUCUCCCUCCGCCGUACUUGCAAGUGCGCACUCCUCACCUGCUGCAGCAGUUUGAGCCGUGGGAGCGACUCCCGUACCCAACACUGCUUGCUGUUGCUUUUGGCCUGUGGGUGGAAUCGCAGUGCGCGUAUGCAUCACGACAGUAGCACGCUCGUCCCAGCCCAAACAUUGCGGGAUGCUAGUUCGCAAACCCGCCAUGCCACCCACGACUCCAUCUGCGUAUGUUGGUGAGGUGGCGCACACCAGUACACUCGGAGGACCUCCGUCGGCAGCCGCAGUAACGUCCGAGGCGACAGGGGCAGCACCGUUUGCUGCCAUCCCUGAGGAUGUUGCAGUCCGGAGCAACAGCUCCGUCCCCGCCACUCCACUUGAUUUCCGGCGCAAGCGCUGAACCGCCGCGCUGGUCCGCUCUGCCGCAGCACGCCGUGCUGACGCUCCGCCACCGCACCCUGCGGUCCCCAAGCGGAGGUUCCGGGUUACAAAGCCUCGACCACCUGCCCGACGAACACCUACCUCGGCGAAGGAUCUUAACAACCACGAAACAGGCCCGAAGUGGUGCAGUCCACACCAGUUGGACGAUGCCCACUAUGGCCAUGUCCAACCUCCAGGUUGACUCACUAGUGAACAUAUGAACAUUCCUCACAGCUUUGCAGCUGCCAUUAAGGCUUCACAAGGACUCCUACACCCCGGGUACCGCCCAUACGACGUCCAAAAGGCGCAUACCUGGAGUUGGUGCAUUCUUCGCUCUUUCCGCCAACGGUUUGCCGCCUAUGCUUGCAUGGCCGCCGUGCUCAUUUUGUCCCGUCCCAGCUCCCAAGCACCCGGCAUUUCCGUCCCCCGGAUUGCCACUUCGCGGAUUUGGGUGUUGGCUUUGCUCCGGAUGCUGUUGGCCGUAGUGCUCCUGUGCUUCUGCACUUGUCUCAAGACCUUGGUGCUGUGGUGGUGUCAAAGCCACCGCCGGGUCUGCCCCGCCGCGGCCCUGCUCUUCGCUGCCGAUCUGGCUCAUGAAAGACAAGAGAAACUCGUUGGCGGCCAGCUGUGCCUCCGGACAAAUGUCUGUAAUGCCACCGUUUGCGGACGUAGCGUGUCCUCCUGCGUGCUGGGUUGCGUUGGCAGAUCUGCCUGCAGUUAGUAACGCGUUAGGGGAACCUAUCGCCAACUCAUGCUCACUGGGAUUGCCCGGGCCAGAUGCACCGUCCGCUGCAGGUCUUGCCCUCUUGCUAUUUGCCCCCGACUUCGUCGGACUGCCAUCGGCAGUGCUGGUGAUGGAGACCCUCACCGUAGCUUCGCUCGUAGCCCCAUAAGAGGUGGCAACUGGCUGUAUCGUCGGCAUCCCUGCUGUCGCUGCCCCAUUUUGUUCAGCGCUCGAAGAGCCGCCGAUCGCUGAGGGAGAAGAGGUAGACGCAGCCGUACGCUGCCCGGUGGCGCGCGCCUGCCUGCGCGGGGCCGCAGGUCCCAAUUGGCUGGGCGGCCUUUGUGCAGUAGGCAGCAUGGAGCCCGUACUUCCACCCGGAGGUUGCUGUGCUGCGAUCUGUGCCAACGUUGCAUGCCCUUGCCCAGAGCCAACAACAUUUCCACUGUCGUUAGGGUGAGGAUUCCCCUUGCCGGCAAGUUGAGGCGGUGCGGCUGCUGACAGCGAUGGAUGCAUCGCCGGCUGGGCUUGGCUGGCGCCAGCCGCUUCGCGGGCGACAUCUUGCUGCUGCGCUUCGUUGGAUCGCUGCUGAGGUCUCUGUUGAGGUUGAGGUUGCUGCUGCCUGGGCCGCAAGGACUGCUGCUGUGCUACGAGGCCUCCCGAGACCUCAUCUGCAGAUCGCUUGGACCCAAUUUGUUUCAGGCCAGGCCCACCAGUACCUGCAGCUGGUUGUACCAAAGAGACAGGUGCGGUCGCUCCCGGUGCUGGAGCUCCCAUCAGUGUGCCUGUACUGGCUGGCGUGUCUGGUCGUGAGGCGUCUGUAGGAGGUUUUGCUUGCGCGGGCGCCACGCGUGCCCGCUUCGCAGAAGGCUGGCGCUGUGCAUCACGGCUGUUUUGACGUGCAGCUCCGCCAUCAUUGGCAGUACCUGGUGGCUUCCCUGGAGAUGGCACGUUUGGUCCCUUCUGCGUUACGCGAGCUGCGGCACUACCACUUGACACAGGCCUAGCAGGCACCGCCUUCGUUGCGACCUGCUUUUGCUUUUGCUGCUCAAGGCGGGCAAUCUCACGACGAAGAGCAUCCAGCUGGGAGUCUAGCUGCACAGGCUCCACAGCUGCAGCAGGAACUCCACUAACUGCAAGCUUUGGUUGCCGCCCACGUGCCUUUAAGGCGGCAUUUGGCAAGCUGCGGUUAUGCCUCACAGGGUAGGGACCAAGACCAGGGCCGGCAAGGAUGCUCGCUUGUGUCUGAACCUGGCCAGCCGCAAGCACCUGGGCCUGCAAGAGUGCUUCCUCGGCAUCAAAGUCCUGCACAAUUUGAACAAACACCUUGGAUUAGCUCAGUGUCCAGCAAGAGCUAGAGCAAAAGGGGCGGCGGACAAGCAACUCCGCCCAACAUCCUUACCAAUAUGAACUCGUCCAAAUGCGGAAGCAAGAAUUCCAUCCUAAGCUUGAACCCAAACCGGAUAUCAGCGGCAACCCAGGUAACACCGCGUUCCGUAGAGAGCAAGGCAUCUUGAACCAAGCUACACUGUGAUAACUGCUGCCAUCGCAACGAACCUUUUGAACGAAUUUAAUAAGAUAAUAUUACCUGGUCAGUACGUGAAGGUUGCGGUCGAUAUAGUGAGGUUUCGGGGCUCUUACCAUUCGGCAUUUCAAGUCUAUACACAUUACCAUAAUUUUGUUGCUGCCAUAACCUGUGCGGUGAAUACCAUUGAUGUUAUAUGCAACCCUGCAGCCGGAUAGUUUUGUGCACCGUCCCGUCUAAAUACGCAAGUAGCAUAGACACCCGCGGCUUCAAUGACCGUCAACGAUGUUUUAAAGGCUGGUGGCUUGAAUGGAAACCAUCCCUCUUUCUUCAGGCGCUGGUACGCCGACCUCUGCAGACUUCACUACAGUGGUCCCAUAUUACACCGAUACCCGGCCGCACACCUGGGCCACUUGGUCACGUGCCGCCUUGAGCGGAGAUACGGCAUGAGAGCGUAGGCACUUAGGUCAAAGGGAAAGAAGGUUAUGGGGGACAAACAAUCAACCAGCCCGAGCUGGGAGAGCACUUCCGCAGUCGACACCGCAUCCAAGUACCAUCUGUUCUUUACGACGACACCCCGAAACCGGUACGCACGCCUAAUCCAUUCCUUUCACUAUACAAGCCGCCGGGUCACUUGCGCGUGCGAAUGAGUUGCGGUUACUAGCUUAUCCCCGAGCCACCCCUGAUACGCGCUAUGCCAUGAAUACGUCAUCGCUGCGCUACUCAUGCCGUCUUGGUCUUUCCAACGCCAUGCACGCCGCCUCUCGCGGUUCCAGCAACCGCCUCCAUCCCCAGGCGCGCUGCCACCACCCGCCACGGCGUCGGUUCCCAGCCCAACAAACGACGAGCAUCUGACACGUCGCAUGGCCAGUCGUUAGUCGAGUACAGCAAGUUGCUUGGGGUGAGGCUGGCGUGCAGGAGCACAGCCCCCAUCGUCUGACCCACAAAGUAGUUAAUGUGCGCCAGUAGGCCGAAGAAGGCGCGCGGCCAAGACGGGUUGCAGCGCCGGCCGUAAGCAUUGAUCCCAGGCGGCGGGUCUGUGACACCCGCCUCCCGUUCCGCCGCUUUCACUGCGGCAUCCUUGUGGGCAGUUGACUCCGCAUUCAACGAGCCGCCGGCGAAUUCACUGUAUCGGAAAGGGUCCCGCACCGGGUCAUGGCACAGGUGAUAAACCCGACCGUGGAUGCGUGGAGCGUCUGGCUUCGGGAACAGCAGCUUCUCCACUGCGUCGACAUGCGCGCGCGCGGCAUCCUCCACCCAUACAAACGGCACGCGGGCAACCCCUGGCCCGAUGUACGGCUGGCCAUUGAGGAUGCUCUUCGCCAGGGCCUAUGAGGGAAAUGUGAGACGAAGCAGUCGGGGGCCCAGGGAACACAAAACAAUAAAACAGCCGAGGUGGUACGUUAGGUCAGCGCUAUUCAUAGCAUCAUAAUCCCCACACGUGCAUGGACGGGUCGACGCUGCAAACUAACAUGUGUAAGGAUCGCACGGCAUACCUUUCAAAGCAGGCUCAAACCCCCCAUGUUACAACUGCAAUCGGGCUGGCCAAGGCUAUAGAUCGCAGCACUAGAUGCAAAGAGACACGCACAUGUAUGGCCAAGGACGGCAUUGCGAAACAGACUGUAUCCCCUCUAACAAUCCCGGCGGCCGACAAAGGUAUCGCCAUUCAUAGCACACCCGCUGUUACGUUAUUCUGCGUCCGUACCUCUUCCCCAAUGCCGUAUACUCCUCCUGGCCGCAGCACCACCACGUGCAAUACGUGGCUGUUGGCCGCCAGCACCAGCCUCUCAGCUUCUGCCUUGGAGAGAGGGUAAGCACCGUUCAGGUCUUCAGGCAUUAGCGCUUCGGUCCUUUCGGAAAUGGGCUCCUUAACACCGCCUCCGCCCGACGGACGAGCUAAGGACCUGCUGAACACCACCGAGGCUUGGGAACAAGCCCGUGGAGACAAGGGGAUAGAGUGCAAGGAAGAUCAUGAAAAACACCGGCAGAUGGCCAUACCAGAGGCGAAUCCCUUGCAGAUGACCUGGAAUACGCAAAUUACGUUGCAGCAUUGUGUUUCAUGUUGUAGCUGGUUGCUUGCAUGUCGUGAUAGGCGAAGACGCUGAUAUUUCCGCACGCGAAGCAUCUUACUCGAAGUCCAUCCUUUGCUCGUUGGGGAGGAAGAACCUGUGACGUGUCCUAGGCAGUCUCUAUACUGCAACGUCUACCAAACGCACAUGAAUCACACCUGAUGAAGUGUACACCAGUGCCUUCACAUCCCGUUCCAGACAGGCUUCCACGACGUUUCGGGUGCCUUGCUUGUUGACACGGAUCAUUGCUGCAUCCUUGACGACCGAACUGACGACUAGCGCGGCAGUGUGUACGACACAUGCACAAUCCGCGGCGGCAGCACGGACAUGAGAGUACGUACAGAUGUCACCUCUGUAGUACGUAACGUCCGGGAGCAAUUCGCCAAACUUCGCGGUGACAGAGACGUCCAAAACAACGACAGAGACAUCUUUGCCCAGACGUUCGUUUAGUUGGCGUACGAUGGCGCUGUAUGCAGCAGGACAAGCCCAACAAAGGACCGUUAAUUAUCGGUUGUCAUAGCGUACUUAACACUCGUCGCCGAUAGAGGAAUCGAAACAUGAUGCACCAUAGCAUAAAAGGUGCCAGCCUAUGUAUGCAAUGGUCUGCCGUUUCCCUACAAACGGCGUUCGGACGACGACAACGUGGGGACAACCGACGUAGGCCAACGAACCCUGUUCUUAUAGAUCCAAUGCAUGCCAUUUGGCACGUCCUACCUUCCCAGGAACCCGCAGCCUCCAGUGACCAGCACGCGCUUCCUAAUGGCGCCGUCAGGUGCCUUCUGCACCAACUCGAAGGGUUCAGACUUCUUUGGCGCUUUCUUUUCUGCAUUUUUAGCAUAAAAAUAGAAGAAUAGCAGCUUAAGGGCUAUUGCCACAAUUAUGGCGCCAACUGUAACCAGGGUAUCCAUAGCGGCCAAGCCUCGCUUUCAAAGGAUGGAGGGGUUAGAACGCCCGAGAUGCAUGCUAUGAUUCAGGAUGGAAGCUGUGCUUUGCUACUGGUCGGAAGUCGUAAAAUGGUUGUCCCUGUACGAAUAAUUACGCCAAAGCCCAGGGAUUCCGUUAAUACCGUUCACCAAGACACUGGACCGAGUAAUUGCUUUCCCAAGUAGGCAAUGUAAAUUUACCUUAGGAUUUUUAAACAAAGCCGGUUAAAGCCGACUUUUUAAGCAGCCCCUCGCAGUGCGAGGCUCGCACAAUUGUGUCCGGUCGUACUGUGCCGAAUAAACAGACCGUACAAGACGGCCCAAAGCCAGGAGCGAAUUUUAUGGCGCGGAUGCGCGCGUGCGAUUCGCAAAAUGCGCGUGUACAAGUGUAUGUCUUUUUUUGGCGAAGAAAGGCCGCAGUGUGUCAGCGCGGUGCGCAGGAGGGCAUGUUGGCCACAGUCGCACGCGGCAUGCAGCCCGGACAAUGGGGUGCCUGCUUUGCCGUAACUGAAAGCACAGAAAGCAAACAACGUAGCUUGCAAGACUGGGCGCAUGAAACGGCCGGGGGAAGAGGAAGCGUCUGGCGAAGCGGCACUUUGUGCAAACAAACGGGCGCGGUUUCGGUAGCGCAACGCAUACAGCCCCUUGUUCGGGUGAAGUCAAAUUACAAACUUACGCGGAAAAAUAUAACAUACACAACUUAAACAACAGAACAGAUAAGUCGUUCGGAACCGUGUAAGUAACAUGGACGCCGCUGAUGGCAUGGAACAGCUCUUUGCUGCGCAUACGGCCGUGCCUGCGUUAGACGUGUUGCAGCAGCUCCGAAAGGGCGUCAGCCAGCAGCAGGCUCAAGCGCUGCUGAACAUCCACCGGGAAUAUCUUCAGUUGAGCAUGUGUAGUUUUGGUCGGCGGGGUCGACCAUCGUACGCAUUCCGCACGGAAGCCGAGGUGCAGCGUCUAUGCAACAUCGCCAACAUAUCCGUACCCGAGUGCAGGCUUCCGAGCACGAAAGACCGGGGGUCGCAUCUCAAGAAUCAACCAAGCAUCCAUGUGCCUCUGCAGAUGAAGACGCGGCGCGCUUCUGGGCGACGGAUGUCGGUCAGCGUUUACGUGGUAAGGCGAGAACCAAGGGGCGGCAUACUUGUGGUUAUGGCCGUGGUAUAUCGAAUGACCGCUCAUCUGGUACGUGCCCACAUUAGUCCGCCUCUAUUCAGUGACCAAGAAAUGUAACAUUAUGCCAUUUCCUAUCCUGGUGACUGUCACAGUGGAAAGUGGGAUCACGAGGUGCAUUUCAACCGCCAACCGUGUCCAUAUACAGCUACAAUGGCUGCGUAACUGUCUGCUGCAUAAUACCCCAUCCGACAGGUCCGCAUGGUUCAGUGUGCGACGGCGGUACAGCCGACAGGACAUCCAUGCUAAUCGAUUCACAACCAACCCGCGAUCGCAUAGAAAAUGUUGACCCAUUCUGCAGCACCGGUAAGCGCCUGCCAAUGUGGGCAUGUGAUUCGUGGAGUGUCGAGGGCUUUGCUGCAGUUGUGGCAAUACGGUUCGGGCUGUUCUGAAGGCACUGCUGAUCUACAUCCAAGUCUACACGCAUCAUCUUGGAAACGGGGCUCACUGCUGACGUGCUGCUAUGCAGGCCAACUUCCGGUGCCACUGUAUGCAUGCAGCGACAUUAGCGGCUGUGCUGUCAUGCCGCUUGAUGCCCAUGCAACGUGUCUGGACUGCAUGCAUCAUGCUCUCAUUGCCAUGGGUGCCACUGAUGUGCCCGCGCCAGACAUUCUGCUGGCGACAGUGGUGGGAGCCAUUACCGAGUCUUGGGACAUGAUGCGCUUCCAAGUGCUACAUGCCCAUGCCAGCAGCCUACCCAGCACCUGCACGGUGGAGCAAUAUGGAGAAGCUCUACAGCAGCACCGCCUGCUGCCAGGCGCCAUCGAGCUGGCGGUUCUCACCCAUGCUCUGAACAUUGCACUUACAGUGUUUGACCCAGAUGGGUUGCAGAUGUGCUAUUGGGGCUCCAGCACAGCGCCAAUGGAGGUGUGCCUCAUCCGGCAGAUGGGCCUCGCUGGCACCCCCGUGUCUUACCACCUGUUGGAUUUGGUACCGGGUGUGUGGACAGGGCAACACCGCCAGCAUCUCGUCGCGGCUUGUUGCACGGUUGGCCUCUGCAUGUCAGAAACACCGUCAGCCGAGCGGGCUGGUCAAGUGUGUGCUGUCCUGCAUGGGAUGGACAGCCGCUGUGGGUUCACUGUGCAGCAGGUCUUGGUGGAAUGGGCUGAUCAGCACAGACCUGCAGUUGAGAUGCGGCGGCUGCUUGCAGCGACACAGCAGUCAUCACAGCAAGCACAGCUGCAGCAGCAGCAGCAGCUGGAGCAGCAGCAGCAGGAGCAGCAGUGCAAGGAGCAGCAGGAGUGGCAGCAGCAGCAGCCGCAGCAGUGCAAGCGGGCCAACACGCCAGCAGCACCGUCGUCCAUCUGAAGUGCCAUCGCCCAGUCCUGCUGCAACAGAUGCUGAGCAACACAUCCCUGGGUACUUCGGAGCAUCCUGGUGCAGUGGCCCGGGCCACAGCCUCGGCAUCUCCGCCCAGCUCGCGGCUUGGAGCACUGUCACAAGCAUGCUGCUGGCCAGUGCACUUGUGGUGUGCGCUGUGUGUGGUGUCACCAGCACCGACCUGCACGAUGACCUCAAGUGAUGGGCCACUGUGGAGCCUGUGGGUGCUGGCAUUGCGCCAUACUCAUUCCACAACAGCUUGCAUGCCGGCAGCAUGACCACACCCGAAGGCCUGUGGCGCCUGUGUCCGCACUGUGCUCCCCUGCAUCCAGCGAACAGUGGCAAUGAGCGAGCAGAGUUUCUGGUCUUCCAUCCACCAGACUAUACCAAGGCCAUCGUGUCGUUGGACACCAUCGACCACCUGUGGAUAGGCCUAGUGGAUGUUGGACUUGGUUUUUUUCCAGCGGCCUUUGGAUUUGUUGCUGCCAAGCUUCGACAGCAGCAUUGCAUGGAAGCGCUGGUCUUGGAUUGGGCACACGACUCCACGCGCCGGGUCAACAUGCUGCCCCCAGCACUGCAGGAGGUGCUGGGAUGGAGCGUGCAGCACAACCCGCUCGUCAGGGAGUUCCUCACCGUUGCUGAACAAGUCCCGCCCAAGCACCCAUUGCCAUACCUUUCUCCAGCUGACAUGCAAUCAUUUGUCGCCAGUGAAGAAGCCUGCAAACCACUUGUGCUGGCCACCCUGGAAACUGCAGAGGCAGCUCACUCGCUGAUAUCUGUGGUUGUGCCUGCCAUCCAGCAUGCAGCCAUGAAGCAUGCACCCGUGAUGUACACCACAUUGGUUCCAUGAUCACCCACUCGGCCUGAGCUCAACCUGGCUGUUGCCACGGACGGGACCCCACUGGACUAUCGGUUUGGCCUGUCUGCGGAGAUGGCCAUGUUCCCCUAUCUGUUUCCCUUUGGUGCUGGCGCGUUUAUGGGCGACACGACCCUGGUCAAGUACUUAGCAUACCGCGCCAAGUGCCUCUUCAGUGUGUGGACAUUAUGCAAAAGCCGUACUUGCUGCUCAUGUAUGUGCUCCGCCAGAGUGCCCGGCUGCAAGAGCAAAAUACAGAGGUGAAUGUGUGGCGGGUUUGCUAUAGAUGCCAUGCAUGAUGCAUGCUGCCUGGCGGCAGCAGCAGUGGUGGCGGCGGUGGCGGCGCGGGUGCUAUGUUCGUGGCGUCGCCGACACGUGGUGUGCGGCGCGCCGGGGCGGUGCUGCUUCAGCAGCAGCAGCAGCAGCAGCUGGGAGUGUUCGACAGCCUGCAGGUGCGAGUGCGCGUGCACGAGUGUGUGCGUGUGUGCAGAGUGUGUUAAUUUCUGUGAUUCCGCUGGGUAACUGCCGUCUGGCGGCGACAAAAAGCGGACGUUUGCAGUCACCAGAUUGAUUUUUUUUCGAAACGUCCACUGCGGCGGUUGUGGCGUUCGUUAUGAAUCGCGUGGGAGAUAGGAGUUUUGUGUGUGAGCGCGCCACAUUUUGAAAAUUCUUCUUCGUUUCGCCGCCGGUCCGAAAAUUUUCGCCUUGGCAGGACGCCAUGCCGUCCCUUACCACGAUGCCGGAAAGCCUGCCAUCACUAGACUCCGCCGCCGCCGCCGCAGCCGCCGCAGCAGCAGCAGGUGGCGGCGGCGGCGGCGGAUCCUCCGCUGCAUCCCAGCAUUGGGUAUUUCAAAAUGUCUCCUCCGUGGGUAACAGCUCCGGCCUCUCCCACAGCCAAAGCGCGGGGCAUGGCCAGGGCCAGGGCCUCCAUCAUCACCACCAUCAUCAUCUAUUUCAUAGCCAUAGCCAAGGUCACAGCCACAGCCAUGGACACGGACACGGACACGGGCAUGGGCCUCACCAUGGCCACAGCAACAGCAUGGGCAGCAGCAGCGGCACCAGAGGCCCGGCCUCACACACCAGGAACUCGCAUCAUGGCUCCGCUGGCGGUGCCUUUGGCAGCGUCGCGAUGCUCUUCCCGACGCUGCGUCACGGCGCCAGCGCAGACGACCUGCCCGGCGGGGCGUCAGCGGCGGCGACGGCACCGUCGUCGCCGCCGCCACCAGGGCCGUUGUCGCCGCGAUACCCACCCGCCAGCGGCAGCUCGACGCCGUACGCGGGUGUCACUGGCGGUGGCGGCGGCGGCGGACACCUGCUGGGGCUUGACGUCGCGAGGAUGUCCAUCAGCGUCGGCGCCGCCGCCACCGCCGGCGCUACCGGCGGCGGUGCGGCGCCCUCCCUGGCCCGCGACAGCUUGCAUUCCGCCGUCAUGUCGGAGCCGGAUACGGAGCGAGUUGAAGCCGCCAGCAUCAAGUGCGUGGCGGAGUUCCCCGACUGGCGCAUAGGCUCCCAGGGUGUUUGUGUUAGGGAGGAAGGCUGGGUAUUACUGGGUAUUACAGGGAUGCUCGCCCAGCUGUUACAAUUUGCAGGUUGAGAGCAGCAACAUGCAUGUAGAACUUCAUGGCAUGACCAUCACCCCCGCCUGCAUGUACAGGCCGUGCUGGAGAGUGUGCUCCUCGACUACAAGUCCCAGCACCCUAAUGUGAGUGAUGAGGACGCCAUCCAUCACAUUCUCAAGCACAAGCUCCCGGCCACAUUGCCCAACACGCCUGCAUGGCACCGCAGUAACCUUCAAGAUUUGCUGUGCAUGGUGGACCGCCUUGGCAUGCCAUCAUUCUUCCUCACCCUCACAACCGACGAAGUGUCAGCCACACGCUGGCCCGAAGUCGAGUCGCUGGAGCAAAAGAUGCAGGAGUAAGUCGCACGGCUGGGGGGGCUCACUAAUUCAAACUGCAUCACUUGGAAGGCAUCCUUGCAUGGCGCCGUCCGCCUCCUGUCCCCGCUCAGCAUGCCAGGUGGUCACCCAUCACCCAUGAAUGCACUGCUCCAGCUGUGCUGUGCCAUUGUCCUUUGUCUGCAGCUUCUGUGCUGGCUUCACAUGGCAAGACGCCCCAGCUGAGAACGCAUUCAUCACCCACAAGCGUGUGCAGUCCUUCAUGACCGACGUGCUGAAGGCGGGCCGCGGGGCAGUCCAGGCUGGCGGGGCCCUUAGCUGCGUCACCAACUGGGUGGUGCGUUAUAAGGUUCAGAACCGGCACAGCCUGCAUGUGCACAUUGUGCUGUGGGUGCACCCUGAGGAUGUGGACUGGGUAGCAUCGGAGAUCGUCACCUGUGUGCCCGCUGUGUACCGUGGGGAUGAUAGCCAUCCAUUGUGCCCCUACACAGCAGAGUACUGGCAGCAGCCUGAAGAGCCCUGCCAGCACGACCUGUUACAACAUGUUUUGCGCAAGCAGAUGCACAUCUGCUCAUCUGGCAGCCAUGCUGGCUGCUGUGCAUCCGGUGUAUGCAAGUACAAGUUCCCAUGGGCACCAUUCCACCAGCCCACUCCCACCAUCGAUCCCGCGACCCUGUGCUACCAGUACUAUCAGCCAUCAUAGGCGCAUCGGAAUGUGGUCCCAUACCACCCCACGCUGGCACUGCUGUGGGGGCCCCACAUGAAUAUACAGCGGAUCAACUCUGCGAGUUGGUCCUUCUACAUGCUGAAGUACACUAUGAAGGUGCGUGCAUAUGGUGCGCUGAUUCCAGGUUGCACCACUGCAGUCCGUUGCCAGGCUGCUGUGGUGGCUACCUGUGCCUUGACACAAGACCACCCAAUCGUUGCCAUGGCUCUGACACGCGCGCGAUUGUGCCCUCUCUGCAUGCUGCUUCCAGACGGAGCCAGUGGGGAAUGUGGAUCUCACUGCUGUGUCAUGUGUGGCACUGGGCGUGCCAGCGGACAGCAGCACGGGUGCAGCAGGUCGUGACUACUUCGUGCGCCUCAUAUCAGCAUACCUGGCGUCCAUAGUCAUCAGCCCCACGCUGGCAUACCUGACUGCGGCCAACAUCCACACAGUAAGUACCAGCAAUGCACUAUGUGGCUGCCUGCUCUGCAGCAUCAUAUGACCUGUGCUUACCCAUGAUCUGUGCUGCCAUACCGCACCUGCUGACAGGUGACAAUGUCAGCCGGUGUGCAGUACAUCGACUCGUCACCACCCACAAGCUGCACACGGCACGUGCUGCAGACUGGCCCCAUUGGCAAGGCGUGUGGCCAUCUGGACCUCAGCAUGCCGCCUGUAGAGAUUUACACGCUCCACCCCCAAGGAGCAGCCUGUGCUCCAGGAUAGCCAUGACCAGCGGGCACUGCAAGCAUGGUUGGAUGCCCUGGCUGCGGAGUUCGGUGACUUGAUGAGUUGCCAUUCACGCCACAGCAGGAUGCAGUCGUCACCGCUAUCCUGGCGCAGCAGGCUGGCAUUGUGGUGCUGAGCGACGGUCCAGGCUGUGGCAAAACGUUCGUGACCAAGAAGCUCACACGACUGCUGCAGGCUGCAGGGAAAUCGGUGCACCUGUCCGCCAGCACAGGGGCAGCCGCUGUGCGCUUGAGCCAGUUUGCCACCACCAACCAUACCGCCUUCAACCUGCCUGUCAGCCAGCAGCACCGGCCCACGGCCUGUAUGCGGGAGAUGCGCACCACAGAUGUGCGGGUGCUAGUGCUGCAGGCAGCAGAUGUCCUCAUCCUGGAUGAGUUCUCCAUGAUGACUGCAGAGAACUUGAUGCACAUUCUCAUCACAUUGUGGCAUGCCAGUGAAGAGCCCUCCAUCAAUGCCAUGCUGCGCAAGAAGCUCAUCAUCCUAGUUGGCGAUGAUGCACAGGUGCACACCUGUGCACAGUACUGCCAUUCAGGGGAAGUAGGCAUCAUGGUGCUCAGCCUCCACACCAUGCACUUACAGUGCUUGUCGCAUGCUGCCCUCUGUCAUCGGCCUGCUACUGCGCCCCCCUCCCCCCCUCCCCCUCCCCCUCCCCCUCACUUGCACCUCCACAGCUGGCGCCUGUCUGCAAGCAUCAGUGCACACACGAGGAUGAACCCCCUGCCACAGCUGUGUGCCGAUGAUGCCACAUCUCGGCCUCGCCCUAUUGGCACACCGCCACACGCCUACACUUGAGUGUCUCAGUACGGCAUGUGAAGGACCCGGCCUACAGCAGCCUGCUUGAUAUCAUCCGGCAGCACACCCCCACACAGGCCGAGCUGGAUGCUGUGUUUGGGGUGUGUGCACCGGACAACAUGCACUUCAUCGGGGAGUCACAGGUGGCAGCCACAUGCAAUGCAAACGCGACAGUGCUGUGUACCCAUCAGGAGGACGCGCUGCAGCACAACCUGACCAUUCUGCGGUGCCUGGAAGGCACCGCCCUCGGCAAAGUAUGCCCCUGUCCCCUGUCCCACAAUGUCACUGCCCCAGACGCCAUGCUGGCCCUGGACCAAUGGCUCCAGGAGCCCACGUUUCGGACGCUGCCAUGCAUGGCCAUUGGCGUGCUUGUCUGCUUAACCGACAAUGUCUCCCUGGCCCGUGGAGCCGCCAAUGGCACGACUGGCAAUGUGGCCGAGCUCCUGUUCGAUGCAGAUGGCCAUGUCGAUAAAGUCAAGGUCCAGCUAGCAACCACAGGGAAGACGUUGGGAUGCAGUGUCACCCGCUACAAGAUCCUGAAUGGUGUCUGAUACUUCAAGUCCACUUUCCCCCUCUGCCUUGCAUGGGCAAUAACAACACACCAUGCACAGGUGCGAGCUUCUGUUGCUGACAUUUAGCCAGCCUUACAUGCAUGGACGGCAGCAUGUCCAUACUCGUCCAAGCACCCUGUGCUAACCGUGCCAUCCGCACCACCACAACCCCACCUGGAUUGCUCAUGCUGUAUGCAGGGUGCAACCCUCGCCACACACACAAUCAUCCAUGCCCGGGAUGCUUUCACACCUGACCUGCUGUAUGUCAUGCUGUCGCGUGUUACAGAGAGCCGCCUGAUCAAGAUAGUGGGCUCCCUCUCGCCAGACUUGUUCAACCCUGUCAUCUUGCCCUGGACCACAAAUCCGAUCGCUGACACAACAGCACCAACAGCCGGACCAUCACAAGCAGCAUCCGAGACUGCACCAAACCCGGAGGACCCGAACCAUGANNNNNNNNNNNNNNNNNNNNNNNNNNNNNNNNNNNNNNNNNNNNNNNNNNAUGCAGUCUCAGCUGCUGCUUGUGAUGGUCCGGCUGCUGGCGCUGUUGUGUUGGCGAUCGGAUUUGUGGUCCAGGGCAAGAUGACAGGGUUGAACAAGUCUGGCGAGAGGGAGCCCACUAUCUUGAUCAGGCGGCUCUCUGUCACACACGACAGCAUGACAUACAGCAGGCCGGGCGUGAAAGCAUCCCGGGCAUGGAUGAUUGUGUGUGUGGCGAGGGUUGCACCCUGCAUACAGCAUGAGCAAUCCAGGUGCGGUUGUGGUGGUGUGGAUGGCACGGUUAGCACAGGGUGCUUGGACGAGUAUGGACAUGCUGCCGUCCAUGCAUGUAAGGCUGGCUAAAUGUCAGCAACAGAAGCUCGCACCUGUGCAUGGUGUGUUGUUAUUGCCCAUGCAAGGCAGAGGGGGAAAGUGGACUUGAAGUAUCGGACACCAUUCAGGAUCUUGUAGCGGGUGACACUGCGUCCCAGCGUGAUAGUCUUCCCUGUGGUUGCUAGCUGGACCUUGACUUUAUCGACAUGGCCAUCUGCAUCGAACAGGAGCUUGGCCACAUUGCCAGUCGCGCAAUUGGCGGCUCCGCGGGCCAGGGAGAUGUUGUCGGUUAAGCAGACGCGCAUGCCGACGGCCACGCAUGGCAGCGUCCGAAACGUGGGCUCCUGGAGCCAUUGGUCCAGGGCCAGCAUGGCGUCUGGGGCAGUGACAUUGUGGGACAGGCGACAGGGGCGUACUUCGCCGAGGGCGGUGCCUUCCAGGCGCCACAGAAUGGCUAGGUUGUGCUGCAGCGCAUCCUCCUGAUGGGUACACAGCACUGUCGUGUUUGCAUCGCAUGUGGCUGCCACCUGUGACUCCUCGAUGAAGUGCAUGUUGUCCGGUGUGCACACCCCAAACACAGCAUCUAGCUCAGCCUGUGUGGGGGCGUGCUGCCGGAUGAUAUCAAGCAGGCUGCUGUAGGCCGGGUCCUUCACAUGCCGUACUGAGACGCUCAAGUUUAGGUGUGUGGCAGUGUGCCAAUAGGGUGAGGCCGAGAUGUGGCAUCGUCGGCACACAGCUGUGGCAGCGGGUUCAUCCUCGUGUGUGCGCUGAUGCUUGCAGACAGGCACCAGCUGCGGAGGUGCAAGUGAGGGGGAGGGGGAGGGGGAAAAGAGGGGGGGAGGGGGGCGCAGUAGCAGGCCGAUGACAGAGGGCAGCAUGCGACAAGCACUGUAAGUGCAUGGUGUGGAGGCUGAGCACCACGAUGCCUACCUCCCCCGAGCGGCAGUACUGUGCACAGGUGUGCACCUGCGCAUCAUCGCCAACUAGGAUGAUGAGCUUCUUGUGCAGCAUGGCAUCGAUGGAGGGCUCUUCACUGGCAUGCCACAAUGUGAUGAGAAUGUGCAUCAAGUUCUCUGCAGUCAUCAUGGAGAACUCAUCCAGGAUGAGGACAUCAGCUGCAUGCUAGCCUUCUGGACAUUAAGCAGGGGCUGUUGUAUUUGGGCACGAUCACACUUCACGUUGCAUACAUGUCCCACAACGACUCGUGUGUGAACGGCGGCUGCUGCCCAUACGGACACCAGCGCUUGGGAUGGUCUAUUGCGUCAGCGUUGGGGAGGGGGGGCGCUGCUCCUUUCUAGGACGGCUCAUCGCGUGCUCGGGGGCAUGCUGGGUAGCGUGCGAGCUCACCCAUCGUGUUGCCUGUUCUGGCAUGUCCGUCCAAGCGAGAAAGAAAACUUGUACCUAGGCCUUAUACUUCGAUACUACAACAUAGCAGAGGACCGACGCGACGUGUACUGUAAACGCGCUGUUGUUGUUGUUGUUGUUGUUGAUGGGGUGUUACACUGUGGGCGGCUCGCCCGAUAAAGGACGAGCACCAGGGGCCCUGACCGGGCCGAAACACAGCGCAGGGAUGGGCGCGCGGCUUUACGUCCGUCUGUUCCUCCGCGCGCGCCUCAUUCCCUCACUCACGCCAACCGGGACGCUCUCCCAGCCCCUGGCUAGGCAACACAGCGGCGCAGAAGACUGCUAACCGAUCUAUGCAAGAACUGCANNNNNNNNNNNNNNNNNNNNNNNNNNNNNNNNNNNNNNNNNNNNNNNNNNNNNNNNNNNNNNNNNNNNNNNNNNNNNNNNNNNNNNNNNNNNNNNNNNNNNNNNNNNNNNNNNNNNNNNNNNNNNNNNNNNNNNNNNNNNNNNNNNNNNNNNNNNNNNNNNNNNNNNNNNNNNNNNNNNNNNNNNNNNNNNNNNNNNNNNNNNNNNNNNNNNNNNNNNNNNNNNNNNNNNNNNNNNNNNNNNNNNNNNNNNNNNNNNNNNNNNNNNNNNNNNNNNNNNNNNNNNNNNNNNNNNNNNNNNNNNNNNNNNNNNNNNNNNNNNNNNNNNNNNNNNNNNNNNNNNNNNNNNNNNNNNNNNNNNNNNNNNNNNNNNNNNNNNNNNNNNNNNNNNNNNNNNNNNNNNNNNNNNNNNNNNNNNNNNNNNNNNNNNNNNNNNNNNNNNNNNNNNNNNNNNNNNNNNNNNNNNNNNNNNNNNNNNNNNNNNNNNNNNNNNNNNNNCUUCCUGCGUUGGCCCAUCAUCCGCUGGGGCGUUUAGGGUGGGUCCUUCUUGCUGCAUUGCACCUCCCGCCGGGGUGAAGAAAUCUGUGAUGGCCCGCUGGCGGGAUCUCUGCUGCUGGGGUUGCCCCAUCAUCUGUCGCUGUUGCUGUCGCUGCUGCUGCUGCUGCUGCUGCUGCUGUCCCGCCGUUGCUGUCGCCCCCAUCCGUCCCUGUCGCCGGGUUGCUGCUCGGAGGCAGCACCUGCCGACUUCCAUGGCGGAUAGCGCCGCUAGGGCGAUCACAUCCCAAGGGCCCUGCUCACACCCGGGUGGCGCUUGGGCAAGCCAGAGCUGCUGCCGGGUGGUGGUGGCCCCUACUGUUGUCUGAGUGUGUGGCAGGUGCCUGUCGAUCUGCUCCUGUACGGCACGUGCGACUGGACAUUCCCAGAAAUGGUGCAGACGCGGUGGGCAGGGUCGGCCGGCGGCGCCCCCAUAGGUCCCACACCCGCAUGGCUCAGUGGGCACCCGGGCUAGGUGCGUGUUGCCAGGUAGGGGCACGCCAUCCACGGCGAGACGCCACAUGGUCUCCUUGUUCUCAUUCUCCCAGCGCACCCCAUGCCACAAACGUGCCAGGGUUGCCUGAAAGCGGCUAACCUCGGCAGAAUUGUCAGGCUGGGCCUGGGCCUCGGGCGUGUUCAGGGCCUCAUGAACGAAGUCGGUCAUCAGGCGUAUUCGCCGCUCGUCCACAUGCCCGUUCUGUAGCUGUGUCGCUAGACUGACCGUUAGGCGGCGGAGCGGCACAGCGUCCGUCGCCCCAGGGAGGCGCCACCCCAGGCGCCCGAUGAUCAUAGCCAUCACUUGUGCGCAGUCUGGCAGUGUCGCUGCUGGUGCUGGUGGCUGCUGCUGGGGCCCCUCCUCCUCCACUUGUUGUUGCUGUCGCAGCCUGAUCUCCACCGCGUAUGCUGCCGCCAGCCAGGCCGGGCUGAUGUCGCUGUGCAGGGCUCCAAGAGCUGCAAGGGCGGCAUCCUUGUCCUGCAGCUGGGCGGGGUCUGUGGCUGGGUCGAGGUGUUCACGGGCCCACGAAUGCCAGGCUGCUCCCUGGAGGGUGGUGGCUUGGCUAGUGUUUAGCGCUUCCCACACCCGUACCAGGUCCCCCACCGUGCGUAAUUUCCUGCAUGGUGUCAGUGCUGCAUGGUAUGCUUCCAGGCCUGGUCGACGGCUGGGGCCCUCGGUGCUUGCAGCAUUGGUCGCAUUGGGCAGCAGUGGGUUGCCCCAUAGCACCGCCGCCCAGCACCAAUCACCGGGUUCCAGUGGGGUUCUGCCAAUGUCCUCCAAAGGCGGCAAGUGCCCCAGUGCCCCCACGAUCCGGCUGAUGUCUGCGGGAAGGUCGCUGCUGCCGAGCCACGGUCCCGUGGCCCGGGCGGUUGUCAGAGCCCAAGGCUGGAGUGCAGGGUGGGUGAGCUCCAGGUAGGCGGACAGCGUGCGUACCCACGGGUGUAGGCCUCGGGCCUCACUGUUGGUUGCCGCUGCCACCUCCUCGUCCCCGCCUGCUCCCCCAGUUACUUCCCCUCCCGCACCCCUACCUUCACAACCUGCCGCCGGUAGUGCCUGUGCAAUGAAUCGCACGGCCCAGACUGCGUGGCGAGCGUGGAUGUGCUGUCGGAGCGGUAGCAGGCCGAAACCCCCGGUUGACGGAUGGCCUUCUAAAAGGCUGCUGGGUACACCUGUGAGACGCUGGCCUGGGUCUUCUGGGCCCUGUUGUCGGUCGACCAGGCGGGCCGUCAGCCGCUCGAUGUGGUCCAGAGUGCUGUCUGGAGGGGGUCCGCCAUGUUCCAUGUGCCAGGUGACCGUCUGCAGGCCGUAGGCGGACGUGGCGGUGGCCCUGCCGAAGGCUGACAGUGGGAAGCGGGCGAGCCGCUGCAUCCGCUUGUAGGCGCCUGCCAGCAUCUUGGGCCAUUCGGGUUGUGGGGGUGUGGGCCGGUUGUCUACCGGCAAGUUCAGGGCUGUGGCGGUGGUGACCACUUUGAGUCCACCGAUUGUCUCCUGCUGCGGCUGUUGGUGUAGUGGCUGCUGCAGCUGCUGCCUACCCGCCGGUUGUGGCUGCUCCUGUUGUUGCUGGUUCUCAGCACCCACCCUCAACAGCUCCACCUUUUCCACAUUGAGGCGCUGGCCUGAUGCCCUUGUGAAGGUCUCCAUGGCUUCUAGGAACGACGGUACUGACUCCUCGCCCUCCAGCGCCACUUCAGUGUCGUCCGCGAACUGGCAGGCUGUGACGCGGUCCUGGUCGUUCGGCCGUAGUUGGACCCCCACAUCUCGGCUCCGGAGCCAGCAGAGCAGGGCCUGGGCGAUGAAGAGGUACAGCAGAGGCGCGAGGGGGCACCCCUGUCGCACGCCUGCCUCCAUCCCAACCAGCCUUGAUUUAAAGCCAUUGACCAUGGCUCGUGCCUGCGUGUUGCUGAGCAGCAGCCGAACCCAGCUGCAUAGCUGCGGGCCCGCCCCCAUCGCCUCCAUUGCAGCUAGCAAGAAGUCUCGGUCCACCGUGUCAUAUGCCUUCGCGAAGUCCAGGAACGCCAGGAGGCCCCGGCGGUUCUGCUUGCGGAGGAGGUGGGAUAGGUGGCGCAGGAACAUCACACUGGCCCCGAUGAGCCGUUUGGGGAGGAAGGCCGACUGCUCGGGGGUGAUGAUGCGCCCCAGGGCCGGCCCCAGGCGGUUGGCCAGUACCUUGGCAAGCAGGCGGUAGUCGGCGCAUAGUAGCGUGAUAGGGCGGUAGUUGCCGGGUUGCUUGGGGUCGCCCUUCUUGUAGAUCACCGUGAUAAUGCCCUCAAGGAACCCGGUCGGCACCUGCCCCGUUGCGCCUAUGGCAGUGAAGAGGCCCGCCAUGGUGUUGCCAAUGGUGGACCAGAAUUUGCGGUAUAGGUCGGCUGGGAUGCCGUCCCAUCCCGGUGCCUUGCCGGGCUGGCUCUUGACCAGUGCGACCCGUAGCUCCGCUGCUGUGAUGGUUUUGGAGCCAAGCUGUUCAUCUGCGUUUGCAGGGAGGCUGAUGUUGGCCGCAGACAGCUGGGCUAGUACCUCCUGUCGGGCACUGGGGCUGAUGAAGUCAGGAGCUCGGCUGAUCUCAGCCCAGUAGUCUGCCACGACCUGCGGCAGUUGUGCUGGGUUGGUCACUAGGCGGCCGCUGUGCGCCUGUAGUGCGACUGGGGCAGGCUGCUGUUCGGCCGCCUGGGCUUUAAGGAAGGCUGUCAGGGCAGGGCCGGUCCGUUCACCUGCCCGGAGCCAGUGGGCCCGUGCUUCCUUGGCUGCCAUGCUGCCAUCCUCCUGGUGCGCCCUUGCCAGUGCUGCUUGUGCGUCCGCUAGCUGCUGCAGUGGCUGGGGUGCUGUGGGCGCCGCAUCGACUGCUUGCUGAGCCCGCUGGACCGCAGCAAUUGCUUCCCGGGCACGGGUGCCAGGCCGUCGUCGGCGUUGUUGUGCUGCCUUGUUGAGUCGAUGGGCCAGGGUGGCAAGGCGGCGCUUGAAGCCUGGCCACCAGGCGAUCAGGCCAGCUGGGUUGUCUUCGGCAGAUGGUGCCUCCAUGCAUUGGCUGCGGAUCCACGUGUCCAUGCUGGACGAAAGGUCCUCGUGUGCUGUGAAGGCAAGGCGGACUCGGCGGACCCCUGGGCCCCGCUCCUCACUCCGGCACGGCAGUAGGUGCAGUGUCGCAAUCCUGUGGUCUGACGGUGUGUGGAAGGUGACGGACGUGUGGCAGACAUAGGCCAGCUUGGGUUGGUUGAUGUAUAUCCGGUCGAUACGGGAACCCCCCGGGGUGGGCGCGCGGUAUAGGUGGGUGAAGUCUCGGCGCGUGGGAUGGAAGUGGCGGUGGGUGUCGACCAUGGUGGGGCCCGCCUGUCUCCUCAUGUCGGUUAUCGGUCCGUCUCCCCGUCGGCCCUCUGGGCCCACUGAGGAAUCCAGUUCCGGGUUCUCUACAAAGUUGAAGUCGCCCGCCCAGAUGAGAGUUGUAUCGCUGUCUGGAGCGGCAGCUUUCGUUGAAGUGGCAGCCAGGACUUUGCUGAACAAAAGGCGUCGUGCGUCUGCUGCCACUGUUGAGGAGCCCGUGGGGAGGUAGACAUUGCAGAUGUGCAGGCGGUGGCCUCCCCAGCGGAGCACACACUCUGUGAACCGGCCCCGCAUGCAUGCUUGACGGGUUGUGUUCGGUGGCGGCUCCAGGGCUGCUGCAAGGCCCUGCCGGACGAGGAUGAGUACCCCCGCUGUGUGUGUCGAGCUAGACCACGAGUGUGCCGCCACCCGCCAGCCUUGGCUAUGUACCCGCAUUGCGGCUUGGCGCAAGUCCCGCUCAAAAAGGCAUUGGUGCUGGAUGUUGGUGUGAUGUGUCUCCUGCAAGCAUACCACGUCCAGGCGCAUUUCUGCCCACUGCCGAACUGCUGCCUGCAGGCGGUUUCCAUGUGUCGCCAGCAGUCCGUGCAUGUUGUGUGUGGUGAUCCGGAGUGGAUGGCCUUGCACAGCAUUUUGCUGCUGACUUCUCCUGGUCCCCCUGCUUGGCAUUUAGUCGGAGUGUUCCGCCUCCAUGGCGGUAGGGGUGUAUUCCUCCUCCUCCUCAUCCCCCUGUGUUGAUGCUGGGCUGUGGGUGCUCAGGUGUUGCUGGCAUUGCACGGCGGCUGCUCGCUGGGCGCGGGGUUCACUGGGGGACGGGUCUCCAGCUGUCAGCUGCAGUUGCAGGCUUGGGACCUGUGUGCUGUCGGAGGGCUGGGCCUGGCUGCCCGUUUGCAGCUGCGCAGUUAACUUCUCUCCGGCUUCCUCUGCUGCCCUCUGUGCCCUCCGUAUCUCCACAUUUUUCUUUCGGGCCUCCAAGGCCUUGCGGGUCUGGGCUUUGUUUCGCUCUGCCCGUUCUUCCGCAGUAAGGUGCUCCAGCCGCUGCCGCUUCCUCUUUGGGGCCUCAGAGGGUGUAGGGGCCUGGUUCGUCUCAGGGCACAUCUGCUGCCUAGCUUUGCCCCCGGUUGCCCGUUGCCUGCCACCUGGCUCCUUCCUACCUGCUGUGAACUGGAAGGUGGGGACUGUAUUGGCUAUGGCUGCUGGUGGCUCUUGCUCCCGUGGUGCCGCCAGUGUGGUGUCGCGCUCCCUGUGGGUUGUGGUUUCCUCUUCCAUCACCGUGGGGCCGGCCUGUGCCCCUAGCCCUUGUAGAGCUGCUGCCGCCGCCGUGGGGCCUGGCUGUUGCGGGGCCACUGGUGGCGGCUGCAGCGGCAAGGGUGGUGGUGGGGCGGGGCCUGCAGCUGGGGCGGGGCCUGCAGCUGGGGCGGGGCCUGCAGCUGGGGCGGGGCCUGCAGCUGGGGCGGGGCCUGCUGGGGUCCCACCAUUGCAGCAGUUGCAGGGGCCGCCUGUCCUGGCUGCGCAGGGACGGCGGGGUUGCUGGCUGCAUGAUUGGUAGCUGCUAUGGCGGCUGGGGUGUUUGCGGCCGUGGUAAUGAUGGUGGCCACAUUGGUGGUGGUGAUGGCUGAUGCAGGCGGCACGGGUGGGGGUGUGAUAUACGGCUGCAGCUCCGGGUUGAGACCCCUCCCCAUGGGUGCAAGCUGGGGUCCUGCUCCCAUGGCCGUCUCCAUGCCCCACCUUGACCGCAUCACGGCCCCGCAUCACGGGCCCUCCCCCGUUUGAGGGGCCUGGUUGGCCCGGGGCAGCAACAGGCUGUGCAGUACGGCCCUGCCGUCGCAUUUGCUGUAACUGCUGUGUCUGGCGCGCCAGCUCCUUCCUUGGUGGUGCUUUGCACGGCAUAGUGAAGGGUCCCUCCUGAUCGGUCCGUUUCAGUCUGUUGUUCUUGUUGUUGUUGUUCUUGUUGUCCUUGUAUACGCCCGCGACGACAAGACUGCAUGUACAUUCCGCCGUGCGCCAAACGCCCUGUAACUCGCUUACACUAAACUCACAGUCCAAUAUGCCCCUGCACUUUCCUCUACAGUCUGGCCCCAUCCUGUUUCUCGCAAAAGUACUUCGGCAGCUUCCACAUCACCAUACGGGCUUUGGAAACGCGGGCAGAUGCUCCACCAGGACCCCCCUCUUUCUGCGGAAUGAUUUAAGGUAGUGUUAGUUGUCGUACAGCGAUUGGUCCUUGGUGCUUAAUAGUAAUUUUACUUUUUAUUCAAUACUGCCACCACUACAGUGUGAACUUGCAAAUAAUGUCUAGCAAUAAAUUGGCCGCGCUUUGUCGUAUAUCCUUUAAAAAGAGAAUCACCAUUACUCUGUUUACAGAUGCUCAGGUUACGGACGUAGUGCGGGGCACCCCGGCUUUUGGCAUGUCCCCUCCCUCUUGAGCACAACGACAACUAUGCCUGAAACAAAGUGAGUGCACCCCGUGCGGCAGCCUGCUAAGCACGCACAGGGAUGCACAGGGAGACCAACAAAGGGGUCCAUGCUGAAUGCUACAUGCGAAACAGCCUCAAAACAGCCUUAAGCCUGCUAAAUUGGCAUGGUCAAAGUACUGAUCGGAUGAUACACGUUCGGUUAGCUCGCUAAAACUUACAGCUCAGCUGGCUCAUUGACACUUGCAACUUCGAUGCAACUUCGAUGCAACUGUGGCAAAAUUGGCAAACGACACAUUCCCCUUGCGGGACUUCACUAUUCUAACACCAAACCCUAUUCUCAUCAAGCCACGACCAAGGAACGAGUUAUUCAGCACUCGUACCUCUUGGCAAUGGCCGUGCAUGACAGCUGUCAAGACAAAUGCGCUCUGUAACUGAAGCCAAAACCCAUGGUGUGCUGCAGAAUUUAUGGCCAAAAGUGCGUUGGCAGCUUCAUUGAGCUCUCACACCAGCGCAACAAUAAGCUCGUCGCCAGGCUGCUCUGCGGCUGCUCCUUACAGCUGCAGCUGGUUGCAGAUCCCAUCCCUACUGGCGACUUGCGUGAAACCCGAAUCACAAAGCCCCUGCAGAGGACAACAAGCCCCAGCCAAACCAAAACAAGUCAUCGCUUCAAGUUGCAAGGCGCCCGUAAGUAUCAAGGCGAUUAUUAUUGGGUAGCUAGCCAGCCACGUAACGAUGCUUAGAAACGCAUGCAAUGACAGCCCAGAUUCCGGACAGAAGAUGGAUAACGUGGGGCCAAACUCAGCGAGCUGAAAGAGUCAAGUCUUCCGCGGGUGCAAGGCAGCUGGGACAGGCAGACAACAAAGGCCACUACGUAAGGACCUUGCUCAAGUGGGGCCAUUGGCGGAUACCUAACUGUGGUGUGAAACGCAGCUUACCGUUGUGCCCGGGCGCGGCAUCGUUUCUUUCCACACCCGCGGUGCCAUCGCCCGAAACAUACUCUUGCUGCAUGUUCAGCAGCUUCAGCUGUAGCUCGGGGUGAUAGUGGCUCCCCCUCGCGCCGUAGCACAUCUUCAGCUGAGUUACCACCCGCGUACUGAUUACCGGGCAGUCCUUAACACUCUCCAUCACCUGCACGCAACGAUCAGCACAAUCCCGGUCAAGGCAUCGUUCCCACAUCGCAGUCUGUAAAGCCGACGGACAUGCCAGCCGCGGUUGGCCCACUGAUCUGGAUAACUUCCCAUGUGGAGGAAUGUGUUGAUUUGACGCGCAUUACGAAUUGUAACGUGGACAUGUGCCGGAAUAGAUUGGGUCGCGUCGGGCCGGAUCAAGGAUCAAGGCAGGACAUAUGCAAAGGAAGGCCACAUGAUUGCAGGCGGCUGUUUCCCCAGAUAAGGCCGCUGCAGCGCUUCACCUGAUCCGCGAUCGCCUGCAAGAGCCCGGGCUCAUGCACAUGCGCCAAGUGGUACGCGCUCGCCACUUCAGCCAGCGCAGCGAUAUCCAGCCUGGAGUUGGCCAGGGGACACAGGGGCGUCCAUGAACACGCGAUAGAUGCCUCACAGCGCGCACAGAUGGCUAGUGACCAGGCCAACAUCCGCGGCAUACGAUGCCCGGCCAGACCAACGCUCGGCCUGCCUGGCACCAUUGGAUACAGCCAAGGAGACGUAAAGCCUGACAUUACGGAGCCCGCACUGCCUAAGGACAGCCCUGACGACAUCUUAAUGUUGUGUCGCACGGAUCCCACCUGGAAAGCUGCCGCAGCAGUCGCGGCGUCACUCCUGGUAGCACAGCUUGUGCCUCCUGUUGAGCCCCGAGUCGCUGCAGCGCGGACACUAGCUUGACCAGUUCAAGAGGCAGGUGAGAGUCCAGCGAGCGGCAUGAAACCCGGGACAGCACAGCCACCAGCUGCGGUACCGUGCUCCCGCCCCACGUUUUCUGGGAAGAAUCUGCGGGAAGCGCAUACUUAGGGUCGUUGUCACGUGCACUGCUGCCAGCGGCCGGGCUGCAGGACGCAGGCAGCAGCGCGGCGUACGCCCUCAGCAGCCUCACCGCCUGGGCGGGAGACACGAGGCUGCUCUCCACGAGCGACGUCACGAUGUGUGAGGCCAGGGCCUGCGAGGGACGGCAGUGCGGCAGCGGGCGGACGUGGGGCGGCUGACGGUAUCAGCGCCACUGAGAUGACUGUCCAUUCCGGACCCAGGGCCUAUGAUUGCACGGUUCGGAUGGUGCCCCUCCCCUGAGCCCCAUUGCCCACCUCACCUGCAGGAAAGUCUGGUAGGCAAGGGCUUCGCGCCUUUCUGGAAAGGCACCCAGCCGCACCAAGGCCUCCGUGGCCCUACAGGCAUCCUGGGCCGAGAACGACACUACGUGCGAUGUGAGGCUCAUAACCAGGCGAGCUAAAACCUGCACCAGCGCCAGCAUCACCAACGACGUACAGCGGUACUUGCAUUGGGGAUGAAACGAAGCACGCGUUGCAACGGCAAGCUUGCGCUGAUAGGCUCCCCAUGUAAGCAAGGCUCAUUUCGAACAUUAUCGAGCUUAUUCUUCAGCAACAUGUUUAUCGUUAGCAAAGCGGGCCUUGGGGCGUAGACCACCCCAAGGCGACAUUGUCGGGAUCCUGCAUGGUGCGCCUGACGCAGCACUGCAACGGGGCGCCCCAGGGUAUAAAGCUCAGAAGUAUUCUGCAGCAACUGAUUGGUAUGCCCUGCAUUGUCGAUCCCAGGAGCCACGAACCUGUGCCAUGGGGGCGAUAUCCGCUUUUUGCACAUGCCUGUACAGCGGCAAUUCGCUGAGAGCGUAUAGCAGCGAGGUCAAGGCUUUCGGGGUCUGGUCACGCAUCGCGAAAAAAUAGCUGGGAUCACGCAGGCGCUUGACGAACGGCAAGGCCAACUGCGCCUUUGCUGGGGCCGGCAUGCUGAGGCCCGCAAUUCCUGUGAUGCACAGAGCCAUGGCCUCCAGGUUCACCUCCCUCUUCAUCUGGUGGUGGCCCAGAAGAGCCAGCCGACGUGCGCAUGCCUCCACACGCGGGUCAGGUGACGGCUGAGUGCCACCGCAAUCGCUUGGCGCCAAGGACCUCCUGACGAUUCCGUUGCCCGUCCGAUGCAGGUCGCCGAAAAGAUUCGUGACUUCUGCAGAGGGUUGUUUACCUGAAAAAGGAGAGACCGCAGCCGAAUCUGGAGAGGAUACCGUGGGAACAGCGCUGGAUGAGGCUUCGUGGGCACCAUGUGUGGUAUGCGCACGGAGGCUCGACAGCGUUGUCAAACCCGUUGCCACGUGCCGCAGCGAAUACUCAUAGCUGUGCUUCUGAAUGUGAGCAUCGAGGGCUUCAAUCGUAGGACAUGUGUCGAUUGAUGGAAAUGCCGCAGCAAUCCUGGAAGGAGGAACGCGUAGUAACGGUUCCGCAGUUUCACCGGCUGUUUUUAAAUAUCGAAGCCACACAUAAUUCCAGGAAAGUUGAUCAUCGGAAGAAUGGGUACUUAUGAUGCCGGCGGCAAUAAAACUCCGCAAUGUAGAAAUAAGAAGAGUCCCAUCCCAUCUUGGUGCUCCAUAUACAGUAAUUGAAGGUUGCAGACAGACAGGCGCGCUACCGAUGAGCGAGGCCCCGCGGAGAAGGCGUCCUGUGAAAUGGCUCGGUCCCCUCGAUCUCCACAGAAACAUUAUCGUCGAUUGGUCAUGCUGUUGAACUAGGAAAAGUUGUCUUGAAUCCUGAUGGGUUGAGUUAGCUUAUGGACUUGAUUAACGGAAGCUGACUAAUACCUGCCAAGUUCUAACCACGAAAACGGGAAUCGUGCACCUUAUAUACAUUCUAAUCCAAACAAGUAAGGCUGAAACGAAAACAGCGCUUGGUUCCUUGUACUGAGUACUGUCGGCCUUUACAUUCAGCAAUGCGUGCUUGGUGCAGGAGCUGAGCAGCUAUUGUGUUACGACUGGCAGCUCAUUGAAGGCAAGCUGGCGCACACGGAGGGCAGCGGCACAACGCGACAUAUAUUGAAGAAGCCCUCUCGUCGGAAGGGGGCUGAUGCGCGGCCAUUGGACUCUGGCAGCACCGAUCGAAGUCCGGGCGUCGAAUCGAAAGCACCCGAAAGGAGACCUUCUUAUACUGAAUGAACGGGGUGUUACAUUGUGCCGGGCCACACCACAAUGCAGGGCAGGGCGCGUGUUUACGUCUCUUCGUCCGUGUGAAUGAUUGGAUGAAUGAUUGGAUGAAUGAUUGGAUGAAUGAUUGGAUGAAUGAUUGGAUGAAUGAUUGGAUGAAUGAAUAAUUGAAUGAAUAAUUGAAUGAAUAAUUGAAUGAAUGACCGAAUCAAUGAAUGAACGGAUAAAAGGGGUGUUACAUUGUGGGCGGCUCGCCAUGCACACACGCCUCUGGUUCGGGUCGGUUCGGGUGGUGGUAUCUUUUCGUCGAACACGGACACACACACAAUGAAUAUAUGAAUCAAUGAGUACAGAAUACGGUAACCAGGUGCGUAGGGUUCCUGACACUUCUGCCCCACGUACCGGAAUCGAAAUCAACAGAGUACGCACGUGAGACACUUGUAAGUGUUCCCCUUACAGAGCUUUCAUAAAAUUCCUUCAAGUCCCGCGAUUCCGGAAGCCAGCCUGAGUUUCCGGGCCGACCCCGCAAUUGCUCGAAACUGCUCGGUAUACGGGUUUUAAUUGGCACGUGGGCUAAACACGGGACAAGUUAAAUUGCCGGGACAGGCCCUUGGAAUAGCCUGACAGGGACACGAAUUGGCCUGGCAGGACAUUCUGACAGUCUGAUUUAGCCUGUCGGGGUGUCGAAUUGGCCUGGUAGGGACAUUCCGACAAUCAGAAUUGGCCUGUUCGGAGUGUCGAUUUAGGAAAGCACAAGAAUUGUGCGACCAGGGCAGCCCAAAGAAUUGCUCUCCCCGACCUUGCGUCCUACCCUCCUUCCAAACCAGCAACGAAUUCCACAACACCGGACUCUCUGGUGGCAUACGUACCUUACUUGGCAAGCCUCCCUCUUCUGGCAAGUAACCCUCUUCAGCAACAGCUGGAAUGCGAGUUGUAAACAAUCUAAUGCAUGUCGUGUUACAGUGACAUCAAAAAGCCUAACGUCUCGGCUGCAUCCGAUACGAAGUCAACGUUAUGGGGACACCAAUAUGAGAUCAUGAAUAUCCUGAACACUUCUACCUGCAAAAAAAUGUAAAGUGCACAGACAUUAUGUGGCAACAGCCAAAUGGGGGCCUUCGCGUCUCCACCAUAGCACUAUUGCAGCGCUUCUCGAUAUUGUGCAAUGAAGGAGUCAGGUUCAGCUAGCUCCUUCGUUGCCCGCCAGUACACCUGCCCCGAUCCCUUCCCGCACUGCGUCAGCCAAACCGCAUAGUCAAGCCAUAGAUCAGUUUCCGUUUUGCCGUACGCUGCAAUGGCCGCCUCGUACAGAUCUGCAAUUCGCUUAGCCGCCUGUUUGGGCGGCGCACAUGAACCCGAAGCCAUAUUGUCUGCGGAGUACUCCAGCCGCAGCGCAUCACGCUCUAGCCUUAUGGCACAUCGAUACAGGUCGCCGCCGGGCGCCGGCACAGCGAGAAGUUUGGCAUAUAAAUGCCGUGCGUUGUCUAUUCCAAGCGAACCCCUGUGCAACAGACAAAAUGGGGCGUAUGGUUUUACAGGGCUGACAAUUUAUACAGCUAAGCCAAGGGCUCAUUCCACCUUUUUCACAAUAUGUCAAACCCAGGCAUGUCCGCGACGCGCUUAUCCUACCAACACAGACCGUCGUCUGUGCUACUCCGUGGCAUUUCAAAUCACAUACUCAUGGGUACAGGCAAUCCCGAUGUCAAGGCGCGACCGUAUUUCCCAUGCGAUCUCAGGGAUUGAUUCAAUCAUAAAAAGGAUUACGGUCAAAACAGAUGGGGCCCCACGCCCGGUUGACGGUGAAGGAUCUCAAGUACAGCGGCCUGCGAGCCAAGCCGGCGUAACUUUUUCGGCGCCAUUCAUCCGGCAGAUCCUGCUAAAUGCAGGUGAUCGGCACUGAACCUGAGCCUUAUACAGGAUAAUGAUGAUGGGCGCUAAGCCCAAGUGUAUGAUACCAGGUUGGGUGCAUGGAAUAGGGUGCCCUGAAACAGAAGGGAAGGCAAAUUUCGCCGGGGGAAGCGGCCGUGGGUGACGCUAUACCGUGUGCUUUCACAACCAUAAUCCUCUCGGACAUGCAGGAGGCAGGGGGCCGUUGUUUCAGCUUCCAUGCACGACCGUACCUGGCCUUCUCAACCAGCGCUGUGGCCACCUGCCCAAGGCCGCCCGAGGGCGCUUUCUUGGCCACCUUAGCGCAUGUGACAGCCAGCAUUUCACCCAGUCGCGCAAACUCCGGGCAAUUAGCUGGCAGCGUGUCGAUAGCCAUAAGCCACACCUCGCACGUCUGCUCUGGAGAUGUUGCCUGCAAUGCAGCCUCAAAUAUGGCCAUGAUCUCCUGCACCGCGUGAUCUUUUCUGUCGCCGCUGCGGACCACCUCGAGUUCCAGACGCCGCCGCCACAUCGCGACGUUCGAAGGGAAGCGCUCACAGCCCUUGCGUGCCGCCUUCAGCGCCAUCUGGCAGUGGGUGGGACAGCGAUGCGGGGCUCUCAAUUACCACCAGUGCAUAGAAGCGGUAGACUUUUCGGACACACAUGCUGUUUUUUUGUUCAGACUCGGUUAGGGAUGCACGCUGCUUUCAGCCAAUGCAGCAGCGCAGCUUACUUGCUGGAGUGGCCGUUGGGUUGAACCCUGGUUUACAUGGUUAAGGAGUGGAGGUACUGUAUGAUGCUGGCCACGCCACGCAGCAUUGUCGAGUUGCAAUGCUACCAUUCAUCCGCAUAUGCAAGCUCCCGGUUUCACUAAAAGCCCACCUUUGGCUGCUGCACCCUCUCCGCCCAGUCCACCCAGGUGAGAUACGUUUCGGGGCAGCUGCAGGACGAACUAUGGGCUCGCUGAAGCAAGCUGAAUAGCUGCGCGGCCACCGUCAAUGCUGGCUGCAGCACCGCUUCCCCUUGCGCCAUCAACCGGUCCAACGUCUCGCAGAGGUACUUAGAGAACACCCGGUAGAUACGGGGAGUAGGCACAGCAGUAAGUCCCUCUUCGUACACAGAGCACGCCUGCCGGUGUCCGUCCGCAUCCCAUGCCGGUUCCACAUUGGGCGCCUGUGCGUCGACCUGUAUCUGGUCCGACAUCCAGGUUGACCCGUCCCGCUGACCCAGCUGCCGCUCAGCCGCAUCCCCUUCUUUCUCCUCGCUCAGGUUGCUUCGCCUGGAGGUGGGAAAGUCAAUGUGGCGUCGUGCCAGCAGGUCCCAGGCCUCCUCAACCUGCCACAAAGAUUCAGACAGGCGGCAUGAGCUACAGCAGUAGGAAUGCAGUUCACAUCCAGUCCACGCCCAGCCAUCAUCCAGACGGAAGUCCGCCUUGCUGCCCAUAUCACUAAGCACCGAGAAUUUUUUACAUUGGCCAUGCGAAAACAUGCGUUAAUAGGGAACAGCGCUGUAUAACACAUAAUACAAACGGCGCGAGCGCAUGGUGCACAAACGCCUUCAUGCCCCAUUUUCCAGAAACCUGUUGCUAAAGUGCACUAUCUAAACGCAAGCCUUAAGAGGCAAGGUGUCCUAUCCUUAACGACCCAUGGUCAAUCCGUAACUGUAUUGGCACCUUGCCAAAGUCCUGGCGUAUGCUGUCGUACACUUGGUCCAGUAGGGCCUCCACAAAUCCGUACUCGAAGCCACGCAGGACCCCAAGGAAGCGUGCGCGAAAAGCCAAACGGCCGGGUAACGCGGCGACAGCAUUCUUGUACACGAUGCGUGCCACGCCACCCUGCAUAACCGCGCGAGCUGCCGCCACUGACUGGCCAUCUGCUUCGUCAAUAUCUUCCGCAGCUGCGAUGGUGUUCCGUAGGGUGCAGAGGAUCGGACGGUGUUUGAAAUGCAAUCCACGUUCUAGCUUGGCAACUAGCGUGCCAUUAUCCAGUCUAUGCUCGUCACUUCUCCACAUGCCAGGACCCACAAUAAGAAUUGGAGCCGUUGGCCUAAUCAGCUGACCGACGCCAUCAGCUCACCUGAGGGGUCGUCCAAACCCAGGACGCGACGCCUCAAGCGCAGCUUCAGCGCAUACAGAAGCUCCAAGUGGUAAUACUGCACCCAUAUGGUUUCGUCCGUCUUGCACAUGCGGAUGCCUUGCUGCAUGAGACUACGGGCCGCUGUAAUGUUGUUGUUCAUGUCGAAUUCCCUGGUUUUUGCACAAGGGAAACAACGGUUCAAGUCUUUGCACGUUUGGUUUGGUUCCCCCUUUUGUUCCCCAUCCCCUUCGGUUCAUCCCCUUUGGUUCUCCCCCCUAAGUGGCAACGUGAGGGAACGUUAAUGGGAAAAGUGACAGACGCACACUCGUGCCAUACGUUGCAAUUUACGGAACAUCGGAAGGUCACCUAGACCCACGCAGAUAAAUUGAAAAGCCUACACCCCCACUCACAAGAUUGCACAGUGCAUGCCCCCUAAUCCAGCAGUGACACUGGCUCCAGCCCUGCGUCCGUAAUACUCACCACCGCGCCGCUUCAAUCCACAGCUCGGAUACGGUGGAGUGUCGCUGCAGCGCCUUUGUUAUCACCUGUGGACACGUAGGGACAUUAAAGUUCUUAAGUUAUCCCGGCCCUUCCAACAUCUCCUGAGCUAACUAGUGAUGGGAUUGAAACGUACCUUGGACAGCUGCUUUGAACUUUUGUAACGUUUGCAAGCCUCGAUCCAGCGCAUCCAGAGGCUGAGAUCACUCCUGAACUUGCGCCCCGCACGCUCGUAAAUGAAGUGAAUACGCCGCACAAUUGCUAUCUCGGCAAUGGAUUUCUUGCCUGGGCAGGGUGACGCGUCAGGCAUGUGUACCCUCGUUACUCCGGUCCCAAGAGCUUCAUACUUCUAUGACGUUAAGCGGGCGCUCCAGGGCGUGGAGGCUUCGGGGAAGGCCGCAAGGGGUUAUCCUGGACCAUAGCACACCGCACCCGUGGGCCAAGGCUGUUCAAAAUGACCUGCCUUUGAUACCCAGCCUCUGUUUGCGGGCUUGCCGGAGUUCUUCCAACUUGGACUCGAAGUCGAUGUACCUAACAGCAACACGGAGAAGUGUAUUAUGCAGAAUGUCCCGUUACGGGCGGCAGUUAAAGCUUACCUAUAAAAGUCCUCCUUCAAAGGGGCACGCCGCUUAAGGAGGUAUUCGAAAUCCUGUCGCUUUUGGACAAUCUUUUUAAUUUCCGCACGAGAGAAGUACCCCUUGCGCUCCAAGUCCUCUAGCUCAGGAAUCAUGAGCUCCAUCAAGUAUUGCACUGUAUCCGCCAUCUUUCCUCUCUAUGUCGAUAUCCAAGCUCCCCAAGGGUCAACUUGCGGCGCCGCCGCAAUUAUAAUGCUUUACCAGAAAACAAAUGAUUGUAGUUGUGCAAGCAUGUUAUCGAUUGGCAAUCUUUGCCAUUGCAGCUUUUCCGGAAAGCUAGCCACGCCCUCAUUUGUUAAUUCGGUUUCAUAAACGUACGGCGUGUUUUUCCUAAUACGUCGUAAGCUUGAAAGGAUGCACCUCAGCUUAAGCAAUCAUACAUACGCGUCUGACCUGGACUGUUUCGUGCCUCCUCGAUCUGCAAGCCACUUCUUUCGCGGCAACUGCACUGGGAAUAAUUUUGGACCUUGGCAAAGGACUUUUAUAGGGUGGAGUGGGAGAGUGAGAGAGAGGAUCAACUCCUUUUGCUGUCUGAAUACCAUAUAACCCGACGGCAAUCUUGAUCACCUAGCACUGUUCACACGCAAAAGGCUCGGAUUUUAAACUUGAUCACGAUGGUGUUGUUUUUCUCUUUGUUCAAGACUUUGGUUGGCAAAGAGGUCAGGACUGCAGGUGCCUCCCUGCGUGCGGCAAGAGAACAGUGGUUGGGACACGCUGCUUCCUCGGCGAUGGCAGGUGACAGUGGAGCUGAAGAAUGACUUGUGCAUAAGCGGAGCACUUCAUAGCGUCGACCAGUACCUCAACAUAAAGCUUACCAAUACUCGCGUUCACAACGAACAGAAAUACCCUCAUAUGGUGAGUGCUUGUGUGUAUCUCGCUGCAAUCCGCACGGGUCAUGGUUCUCAUGGAGAGGGAAGAGGAAGAUAGUUGCCCAUGGGGGGAUGAAACUCACCCACACUUCAAUCCUCCCUGCCGUGUGCGAGAGUAUUGACAGAGGGGCUUCAUCCGUUACCCCAGACUUCCAGCCUUUCCUUUAAAUCUUGCGUCCUAGUUUACUCCCCCAACUUCAAUGCUCCAUGGAGCAUGAGCCGCAUCACUUUUCGCCCUCGUGUUGUUGAGGGAUUCCUGCCGUAGCAGUAGAAAUGGGUCCUGGGAUUCGAGAGAUAAUGUUAUCACGCAUUGACAAUGGGAUUGUCCGUACCAAUGCAGAUGUCCGUCCGGAACUGUUUUAUCCGAGGCUCCGUCGUACGUUAUGUACAUGUAAGCGCUUGUUGAGCUUGGAAGGAAGGGGUAAUUGCCUGUUGUGGCAAGGCAUUACUGAACUUGCCCUACCCACACCGUAUGGUUACAGACGAUUGCAGAAUGAUUUAAUACAUUUCUUGCAUAGCAACUUAAUCCACCUAUGCAAUUGCAACCUGAUUUUCUGUCUACAGUUGCCACCGGGGGCCGUCGAUGUUGAAGUACUACACGAUGCAACUCGUCGCGAAGCACGUGGCGGGUAAAUGAAACCUGCUUUACCAGGCAUUCGACUCUUUAUUACGUACGGCACGGGAUGGAUUCGCAGCCGUGACAUGCAUACGAAGUCGGAUUGGAUGGAAGGGCCUUGCCCUCUAUAUGUGGCACAUUGCAACGGUCAGGGUGUAGUUGUUGGCGGUUCUGACUUCUGACCAAUUAACAGUCCGCUGCCCCAGCUGCUCUUUAAAAGCAGCUGCAGCUUCAGGUCGUUGUUUGCCUUCUGUAGUUCAGCCGCUUCCCGCUUAAGCUGCUGGAUUGUCGCCUUGCAUGCUUGGAUUUCCUGCUCCGCGGCUUGGCACCGUGCCUCAGCCUGCAGAAGCAAUUAGCCAAGCUGGAUGUGCGUAAACCAGGCAUCUGUACAAAGCCUAUGUGUAUACUCUGUUAGCCGUAAGGAUUAUACGCCUGUGUAAAUGAAUUAGAAGACUAACCUCGUACCAGAGCACUCUUAAGGGGUCCCGAAAUAGUGUUGAUUUGCUUACCUGGAGCGCUUUGCUCUCCUCCAUGUUUAGCUGAUCUUGCAGCUCCUUGCGGACAGCGCUAGCAUCCUCAAGCGCACGAGCACGGGCUUGCUGUAUGGCGCUCGCCUGCAAAAGCAGGGCAAAAUGUCUGAUUCUGAGGUGAGGACAAUAUCCAACCAGCAAGAACAGACAGAGCAAGGGCAGCCCUCAGGCGACAACGUGCAUCGCUGAAUUUUGCUUACCAUCCGCUCAUCUACCACUGCCAGCUCCGCCUUCAUGUGCACGUUGUCAUAUAGUGACGCCAGCGCAUCGUCCAAUGCGACAUCGUACUCUUGCUUGAUCCGCAAAAGGAGCGACCGGUACGUCGUAAAGCUGUGCAAGAACGCAUCGAAAACCUGUGUUUGAUCCAAUAGACAUGGUCGUACGGUGCAAAGGCCACUGGUAAACAAUCGGUAUGAACUUGGCGACAAGACAUUUUCGGUAUGCGACGAGGGAACUGCAGGCUACGAAAGACCACCAGCCUCCAAGAGCAACCGACACUGUAGGAUUGUCAGCAAGUGUCAGCUCGCGGACCGAAAAUCCAUUACCCGGAAAUCCCAUGACAUUUGAGAACCAC
rnacentral:lncRNA from 1 species